UUUUUUUUUUGUUCGAGUUUUCAAACAAAAUAUCUGGUGUUUUUUCUAUGGUGGGCGAGCUGUGGGAAUGCCUGCCGGUGACGGUGGCUGUUUAUAUUGGCGGUGGUGGAGGAGGAGGAAACGGACAAAAGAGGAGGAAGCUCAGAGAAGAGAUGACACUUGGGGUGAUGAUUUGUUUAGUCAAUUGCCAAAGGCAACAACAGGACAAACUACAUGCAAAAUAAUAAUAAUAAUAAUAAUAAUAAUAUAAAUUAAUAUUAUUUGUUUCUCUUCUCUGUUGUUGGUUUAUAUAUACUAUUUUUGUUUUCUGAUUUAGUAUUUGUUUUCUUUAGUCUAUAACAGUCAAGCUCAAAAUGCAUCUAUUCUUAUGGUGACAACUGAUCUAACAUCAUUUCAGUCACUUUUACCCAACUAGUCUUUAGGGUUUCUUCCAAACCAAAGAAACAGGUUUGUUAGAAAUUUUAUGAAUUGUAAGUGGUUGGGAAAAGGUUAAUUAUGAAUUUUAUAUCAUUUUUUUAUACGUUCCUUCAUACGAAAGCCACUUAACUAGUUUGAAGUUUGCACAGGGCCAUCAUAAGUUGUGCUUAAAUUAACUGUUAAUAUUAGAGGUCGUAGAGAUUCGAACACGCGAUCGACCACUUUAUCAAAUUAGGCUCUGAUAGAUUGAUAUCAUAUCAAGAACUGUUGCAUCUCAAUAGCUAGAGUUAUUGGAAGAGAGGGUUAAUUAUGAAUUUUAUAUCAUUUUCCUAUCGUUAGAAACAGCGUAUGUUAUGUUUGGCAAUUGGAAUCCUGAUUCCUAGGAAUGUUGAAUUGAAAUAGUACAAAAUGAUUGAGUUGAGGAUGGAAGGAAUUGAGAGAGAAAAUGCUAAAUUUAAAAGAUAUAAACGAUUCCUAGAAAAGUUUAUUUUCCAUAACAUAGAUUAGGAAACAUGAUUCUAAUUGGAAUUUAAAUUUUUAUUCAUAAUAUUUUUUUAUUAAACUCAACUUCUUUACACUAAUCUUAACUUAACUAAAAAUCAUAAUUUCUAUCACCAAACAUAGUUUAAGAAAGCAGAAUGUCGAUUUCCAUUCCUACAAUAAGAAAGCUGGAUGUUGAUUUCCAUUCGUACAAUGGAACAUGGGUUUGAGUCUCUAAGGUGUAUGAAUAUUUGGGCCGGAGGGAUAAUUUUCAUUCCAACAGGCUGGAUCCGUUAACUGGCUUUUGGCCUUUCUAUUUGAUGAUGCCAAGUUCCGAAUGGUGUUCGUUUGAUGAUGCCAAUUUGCAGGUGUUCCUUAGCUACCAGGUUCAUGUUGCAAGAAAAAUUCAGCAUUCAUCUAGUGUUCUGCAAGGCUUGUUUAAUCACAUGAAGCUAUUCUCUUGAUAUCAGGGUUUCAUGUUCUGCGCCUCCAACAAAUUGCUAUUCUCCAUAGCUGCCAUGAUCGAGGGAAGCGAGGAGCAUUCGGAGACUUCCAAGAUGUUAUCUUGUACGUCUGGUAUGGUCUAUUGCACGCUUGCAUGCUGGUAAAGCACCUCAAUCAAAAGCCAAACCCCCAUAGCUUCUCCCUGAAAUGGAAUUUCACAACAAUGCUGUCAUUUUGCAGACACAACACUAGAUAGUAAUGGACAAAAGAGAUGGCAAGUUUGGUCCAGAAGCAAUGGCCAGCACCGCCGAGAUGCAACAGAUGUCACGUCUUGACUAACAAGUGCCUCCCGCAGUCGGGUAUCCUCCGGCAUGUUACCCUCCACCGAACACCCCACCACCUGGUUUGGCAGCCAUUUCAGAUGCAUUUUAAAUGUCGAAUUUUGGUGUAGGGGCUAAGCAGCCUUCUUACGCACGAAUCUCUGGAGAGAAGCAGGCAGUUGAGUUUCAGUUUCCUCGCCGUGUUUCCUCUUCUUCCCAUCAUCAACUUUAACUUUGCCUUCCUCCUCCUGCUUUUGCUUCUCCAAGAAAGGUUUCUUAGCUUUAUCGACCAUCACCUUUCUCCUGGAAUGAGAACAGAGGACCAACCCCUCGAGUGUCCUAACACCAGAACAUCUUCGUAAGGCCUAAACGAUACUUUCCCUAUCUGGUACCCUUUUGCCAUCGAAUGACCCAUGUACCGGCUGUAAGUUCCCGAUCCUGACAAGUUCCCGAAAACAUGAGCAUACGACCCUGUUCCUGCAGCUAGUAAACCCUUUUGGCUGAAAUCCAAAGUCUUGGCAUGAUGCCCUGGUAUGGUUUGGACGACCUCGAAUUUCCUCAGGUCCCAAAUCUUGAUUUUCUUCUCCCAUCCGGCUGUCACCAUGAGAUGGCCAUUCGGGUGGAAUGCUAGGGCAGAGAUUGGACCAGGAUGGCAGAGCAUCUUGACUAGGGGAGCAGCACUGGUGGGCUUCCACAUGGUUACUGUGCCACCGGAGUGACCUACUGCUAAGACGCCGUUGAAAGGGUUGACCUGCAUCGCGUCAGCAUGUCCCAUCCCGGUACGGAAGUUACCUAUCAUCUGACCCGUUGUUACAUCCUGGUAUCGAAGUUGCCCAAAUGUACUUAAUGAAGCUAAGAGGAAAUGGUUUUAAAGAAACUGCAGAUGCGACACUGGGCCAUGUUCCUGAAUAUAAAUAAAUACAAACAAACCCAACAGAGUUUAGUCAAUUGCCCUCAUACAACAUUGAAGAAUACUACCAGGAAAAGGAUAGUGAUACUUACCUUUAAACAAUGAAGCUCAGUUCCAUCCCGGUUAUAAAUAUAAGGGUACCUGAAAAACAUACAAGAAUCUUAGGCACUUUCAUUAUUGUAAGGCACAGAUUAGAGCUGCCUGCUACAAGACGUGUUAAUCAUGCUCUGUAGACCAGAUGAUUAUAGUCACAAUUACAGCACUAAGUGUACCAAAUUAUGAACGCCCUGUGAAGACAAAGCUAUCGCUCUUCUCAUCAAUGGAUGGACGAUUAAACCAUCAAAUCAAAGGGAAGUUAGCCGCAUUUUAAUUGAAGAAAAGUAAAGGAUGACUUGACCUAAGACAAGAAAUUUUAGCAGACUUUUAGGAGAUAUACCAUUUAAACAUGUGAACAACAUAGUUCUUUUAAUUCAUUUUAGUGUACCGGAACUACAAUUUCUAAAAUUGCAUUUUAAAGUUGUAUGUAACCAGGGGAUGCAGCAUCUGUUUCGCGUAGGAGGAGAAAGAUUUCUCAAUGUAAGAGGAAAAAGAUUUAUCAGUGCUAAUAUUUUUCUACAAGAGAAUAAGACCAUACUUUUUCUGUGCAACUGCAAAGAACGUCUCAUUGUGCAAAAACACAACAUCUCGCACUGUUUCUUUAGCCUGAAACAGCAAGAAUUGACAAGUUCAGUCACAAGUAUGCCAAUCAUCCGUUUAACAAAUAACUAGACAAAGCAAAUAUGAAAGCUGGAUUUUUAUCUUGCUUUGCUUAAAACUGAGGUACAGAAAAACGUAUAAAUGACAGCUAAAAUGAGCCUUCUUAGUUAACAUCAAGAACCGAACACACGAUACAGCAAAGGGAGUCAAGAUGCAGUCAAACAAUACCUGCAUCUCUCUAAUUUUGUCCAUACUUAUCAGGUCUACAAUAGCCACAUGCCCCUUGCGUCCAUCAAGGGCUAUGUAUCGACCACUGGCAGUGAAAUCCAGAGUGUAGGGUCCAAGAUCUGCACAUUAACAUAUACAACUUUCAUAUGAUCCUCAUCAUAAUUCAGGAAUGCACCCAGUAGAUGUCUUACUUGUUAGUAAGCACCACCAAAAUGACAUCAAGAACCAACGAGUAUUGCAACUCAGGCCAGCGACACCAAUCAGUGAUCACAAGCAUUAAGUUAACACAUAACAGGAAUAGACAAACCUGGCAACACUAUAUCGUACUGAUUACUUGAACUUUUAACAUUUACUUCACGAGCAAUCUCAUUCUGUUUAAUCCUCCAUGUCUUCUCAAUGCCUUCAGCCUCGAUAAAGCUUCCCUCACUUGGUUUAAGCCACUGACCAAAAAUACAUGUUUAAAUAUUCAUAUAAUAGAUGUAAACAAAACACAUUGCAUUAAUUGAGUGCAGAGACAAUUAAUAUCUGAAGCCAGAAUCUCAUAUCCACAACUUCCCAACCCUUGGUGAAACAAUUAUUCAUCAUAACAAAACUCCAAUAGCACAGAGGAUUUCCAGCAAUGGACAUAUAAAGCAAAACCUAUAUAUACAUAUCAUCCCUUCCUAUGUUCUCCGACUUUCUUACAGGUAGAUGUGAUCAACUGAUUACGGCAUAACUACCUGAACCACAGAAGUGAGACAGGCGUAAAAGCUAACCUUUUCAUGCUUGGCAGCAACAUUUGCAGACUUUUCAUGUAAUUCUUCUUUAACAAUUUGCCGACCUUUUAACUUUUUAUCUUUCAGUGCCUGCGGAGGGAUGACAAAACAUUCAUUCAAUAGCAAGCACAGUGUUUUAAAUCAAAGAAAGAACAUGGAUAGCGUUUAGAUACCUCUAGGUCAGGAGCUUUUCCUCUAAGGUACUUCUGCAGAUUCAAAUCGAACUCUGCAGAUAAUUCCUGCAGUUAAUAACAAUCAAUCAGACAACACAGAAGAUCACUAAACGUCUACAUACUUAAAAUGUAUAAGAUAGACCAUACGUGACAAACUCGUGAGAAUUGAGAUCAUCGGCAACCGUACCAUUUCGGAUUUCAUCUCGUCGGAGUUACCAGCGCGGCAGCGCAGAUCAUCCUAAAAGGAAGAAGUAGAAGAAGGGGCAGUGAAUCAGUCCCUUGUGGGCUCUGGAGGCAUAGAGUGGGCUUUCUAAAGCCCAAAUAGAAUUUGACAUGAUCCUUUUCAUUUCAACAGGCUGGAUCCAUUAACUGGCUUGGCCUUUCUAUUGUAUCUUUGUCAAUACUUUUUUUGGGGAAGCACGUACCCCAAUCAAAAACCAAACCUAUAGCUUCUCGCAACUACGAGCCAAGUCGAGUCGAACUUUGUCUAAUUUGAGUUCAACAUUGGUUGACUCAGAUAAACGUAUAAACAAUUUAUGAAAUUCUAAAACGUACUCUCUACUCGUAUAGUCUAUUCAUCACCCUACUCGUGUGUUUUGAGAUAAAAUAAGAACAUUCAUACCAUUAAAAUAUCUAAAACCACUAAUGAGUUGGAAAUCAAGCCGAAUUGGCACAUUGAGCUAGCCGAGUUAAGCUAGGGUUGGCUCGAGCUGAGCUUGUUUAUUAUCAGGUUGGCUUAAAAUUGAGCUAACUUUCGAUUGAUCUUUUUUCUGAGACAAAUACUAAGCUAGCUACUCGCAAGCUUUUUCGAUAUAGACCAGCAUCUAGAUGCGCACUGCAUCGAGGAGGAGGGCGGUUCUAUUUUUGAGUUCGAACCACCUGGAGGUGCGCAACAAGCACCAAACUAUCAUAUUUAUGUCAUUAGAAUAUGGGUUACGACUUCAGCACUACAAUUUCAUUAUCAUGAAGAAUCGGACGGUUAGUAUAUGACAACCGAGAAGAGAAAUAUCAAUUGAAAAUUUCAGAAACCGUCUCAAUUAUCUCUUUUUAACCAUAAAAUCGAUCUAUUCUUAUUUGAAGAACCAUGUAACUCUUUGUUCUUGAUCUACUCUUAUUUGGUAACACAUGAUUUCAAACGAUAGCCGUUAAAAAAGAGGGGUGUUAUUAUUAUUAUUAUUAUUAUUGGGAGAUAAAGAAUUAAAGAUGUAUGUUAUUGUAUUUUUGUCAAUACUUAUUUUUCUUGGAUAUUUCUUAAUUCCCCUAUUUUGUAAUUGAAAUAAAAAUGAUCAAAAUAAUUAACAGCGACAUCUCAACUUGUUAAAUUCAAACAAUUACCAAAAUUACACGGCUGAUAGUGAAAUCACAAUCAUAAAACUACUAGUGCUCUUUCGUCAACUUGUUCAAACCCAAAAAAUUAAAGGGUUUUUAAUCCUCCUUUAAUUACUCUUUAUUAGCUUGAUAUUAAAGGGUCUAGCAAUAAAGACGGAAGUCCAACGGAGCGAGAAUAAUCAUGUUCUAUCUUUACCCCUGGAAAACCCCAGCGUUAGAUCUAAUGGUUGAUUGAGUUCCUCGAUCACAAUACCAACUCCACAGCUAGAGACAGACCUACCAAUGAAAUAUUUCCCAGUCAACUUUAAGUAUGCGUGAAACCCGAUUAAUUAGUAAUUUUAUUAAUUUAUUUUAAUUUUCGUGCUCUUGGUUGUCGUCGUCCGUCCUUCAAAAUAAAAAUAGUAGGAAAAUGUCAAAGACCAACACUAUAGUCUUUGCUUAAUCAACCCAUUAAAUAAAAGAUUAGUGAUGGAAUAGUUCAAUUUUUUUGGUAAUUAGAAAUUUAGAAUCGCUAAUCUUGCUUUGGAAAUGGACAUUUUUCACGAUACUAUAUAUACACGUAAGUCAAUUAGCCAAAAUUUCUUGGAGUUUUCUCUUUGUCCUUUGCUUAACGAGGAAUACAGAUUGUGAUUAAUUCUCAUAUAUCUCUUAUUAUAAUAUUGCACUUAUACCUACUUAUAAAAUUUAUCUGAAAAAGCUAUCAACCAAAAUAAAAUAUGAGGUCGGGUUGCCUACUACAAUUGGCCAUUUCUCAACGCCACUGAAAUUUUGAGGUUGUCGUUUUUUAAAUUGGUGGUAAAUGAAUGAAUUUAUCAUUACACGAGAUAAAAAAGGAAAGAAAUAUAUUAUAUAUAAUUGUUCAUAUGUGAAGUAUGUUAAAUUUGAACUCAAAACUUUCUAAAUUGUCGACACACAUACAACUACAUACAUUACUUUGCGAAGAAUUUCAAAAUCGCGGUUUAGUCGAAUUUUGAAGUUUUCAACAAUUAAAAUUUGUAGCAUGUAAUUAAAGAAUUAUGUAACCGUGUGCUCAACUUGCCGGCACUGGAAGCUUGCCACUUGGUCAAUUUCUAUUACGACUGGCCAUUCUAAUAUUUUUUAUAGNNNNNNNUUUUAUUAAUCAAUUAAUUUUUUCAGUUUUAGCUUUUAAUUUUUGUCAGUGGCAGAUUCCAAUGUGUAAACUAGAAUUUGACGUCCGACCUCCAUCUUCCUCUUUCAGUAUCGGAUAUGUGGCCGUAAGUCAAUCAAUUUAUUUUUGACGUCGUUGUUUUUUAGUUCAAUUUUCACUUUUUUUAGUUGUUGUAUUUUCUUUAGUUUAUAGAAUGAAUCCAAAUCGAUCGAAAAUCAGCAUCAGGUUCGUUACGUUCCUGUUUCAUAUAUUUGGUACAAUCUGUACUAAUAAUCCAAAACUAGGAUAUAAUUUAAUUGAUAACAAUUCAAAUUCAUUUUUUUCAAUAAAUAGUUAUGACUGCACUUGUAGUUCAUUUGUGGAACAAUAAUAUUUAUGUUAUGCUAUACAUUCUUUUCACAUUUUCUUUAGUUGUCAUAAGAGCUUCAAUCUUGAUGAAGUAAAAGGAAUUUGUUCUUGUAUCGUAAGCUUUUUAGGCUCACUGGUUGAACUUCUCACACAUCAAACCAAUUUGUACAGUUGUAGUUCCACCAAAUUCAAUUGAUUUGAAAGCAUCAAUCUUUAAAGCUGAUGUAACUUUCAAGUGCAGUUCUGCCAAUCCCAACAACAUAUUCGGAGCAAAUAAACUCACUAAAUCCUAUUUAACACUGUCAACACAUAUAAAAUCAUUAAUAUAUAAAAUGAGACAGUACACACCAAGUGAUUACAUGGACCAAACAAUACAAUAUUUGGCUCACUCUAGGUUUAUGUAACAAUCAGUACCUAUGCAACCAUUCUGUAACAAUGGGUACCAACUACAAUAAAUACUUGUUUGUAAAAGUUCAACAACUCAAAAUAGAUUCAGGCAGCAAAUUCAAAUUCGGAAGCCAACAAAUCGACAAAAGAAACAGAGAAUCAAAAUCAAAAUGGUGGAAUCGAUUAAUAUUCAGCUAUUACUGUACCAAUGCCUAAAUAAGGACCAACAUGCACAAACUUAGUACAUAUAUAGGUUAAAGAAUCAAUCAGAAAUUCGUAUAGAAUCGGAAAUCUAAAGAACAAGAAUGAAAUAUAUAUAUAGGUUAAAAAACCAAUCGAAAACUCGUCCGUAAUAGAAGAUAUAGAGAACAAGAAUGAAAACAAAGGAAUCAGGCAAAAUAAAAGAAAACUAACCUUUGCAUUUGUUUCAGACAGGUGCAUGAUGGCUCGACUUGUAUUCUUCAACGAUUAAUUUUGGGAACGUCAGCUUGUAAAUUUGGGAUUGGCGGCCGGACAAGGCGGCAUUGCUUCUUCGACACCGCCGGCGCUUCUUCCAGACGAUGGUAGAUUUGACGGCGGUCGUCGACUGCGAAAACUCGGCUGGCUUUGGUGGAUUGAAGAUUUGCUGGGAAGAAACGAUAUUCGUCAGUUGGAAAGUAAAGACACUCGUCGGAAACGAUGGGAGGGUUCGAUGGCGAAAUUUUUUGAAGAAUCGAAAUCGUCGAGAAGGUUUAUUUUUGGAGAGGGGACCAGUUGGGGAACAAAACGUGGUUGUAGCUAUUUUAUUUUCCUUCUAUUUUUUAUUUUCCAAAACAAAUUAUAUUAAGUAUGUUGUAACUAAAAUAACUCAAUUUUAAUUAUAAUCAGUUAAAUUAUAUUAUUUACAUUCAAUGAUUAUUAAUAGUGUCAUAAUGAUAUUAAUUCACCGUACCAACACCAUGCAUACUGGUCCUACUCGCAAAAGAUUGUAUACAGAUGCAGUCUAGAUAAAAACGGUUAACUUAAUGUUAACAAUUUAUUUAUUCUUAGCCUCAUUACAAUAUUUUAAGGAACUAGUCACUCAACAUGACCUAAAUAAAGUUCUAAAAAAGAUUUAAAAUCCAUUUCAAUCUAACUCACAGUUUUCAUAUCCAACAUCGGUAGAGCGUGUGUCUAGUGACCCAGAAGUUUCGGAUUCGAAUCCAGUAUACCUCGUAAAAUGGAUACCCAGUUGUGUUAACUUUAUGUCUCCUAUCUUGUAUUCACCGAGAGUCUCGGUCUACUCCGACAGAAAAAUCUAAUUCUGGUAAAAAAAACAUGUAAAAAAUAAUUAAAUGUCAUAAAAUACUUGUCAACCCUUAUUUUAUUUCUCAAUAGGAAAUUUUAGUAGUCAACAAAAGUACAAGAGGGAACAUUACACUAUAUAAUUUAAGAACGUGUGGUAGAAAAAUUAGAAUUAUGGAACAAAAAUUGUUUAAUGGAUAUGUCUUUGUUAUGAUGAAAAAAUUGGAACUCUGUUAUUGUCAUGUAGUACAAUACAAUAGUGGUUAGAUUCAUUUUGUCACAAAUAAGUCUUGAUAGUUGAUGUAAAAAAAAUCUUAUAGUUGAAUCAUAGUAUUUGGCGGUGGAUCUAGGACCUCUGCCACAAUACAAUUUAUUUUCGAACUUUUAUUUCGAGAUCAAUGAGUAUAUUUUUUUAUGUCCGCAAAAUGUAUAUCAAAUUGAAUCAUUUUAGAUUUGCUACGGGUCGUAUUGUUAUAUAUAAGACUUAUGCUUUACUUAAUCAGUUGUUCGAACCCACAUUAAUUAGAUCUAAACCCACUACAAUAUAUAUGAAAAAGUUAUUUAUUUCCACACAUAAUACAAAAAUUAUAUUUCUUUCAAAAACAAUUCUCAAUAAAAAAAAUAUUAUAAAUCAUAAGUCAUUAUAAAAAAAGAACGAAAAAGGAUAAAAAGAGAAGAUGAAUCCUCUCAAAUUGUAAGACUAUAUAAUUCCGAUGACUAUCGGGAAAAAGAUAGUGAAAAACUUUUGCGUUAUUCAUUUCUCAUAUUGCGAUCCACUUGGUCAUUUUCCGUUUUGGACACUCGAAACAUUCACACCAUCACUAAACUUUACUAGUUGCACAAAAAAAUCACCUCAAACAAAUUCUUCAUUUUUCUUCAUUUUUCCUCAAAUACUUUUUUAUCUUUAUGUACACAAAAUUUCUAUCCUGAAAGUAAAAAAAAAAAAAUCCCUCAUUUUCCUCUGUACUUUCUGUCAGCUCCCUCUAUUCAGCGAAUUGGGAGAACUCGCCGUAGAAAUCAGGGAUCCCAGAGGCGGACCAGAACUUCUCGUUGAAGCUCUCCUGCACGUCGUCGGGGAUCACCGCCGUCCGGCACAGCGGGCACGUCCUCCGGUCGUACCCCAUCCACCGAUCCAAACAGCUCCGGUGGAAAACAUGCCGGCAAUUAGCCAGAUUCCUGAUCUCAUCCUCCUCCUCGAAGUCGUACAGGCACACCGCGCAGCUCUCCGGCGGGUCCACCAGCUCCGAGAACUUCACCACGGGGAGGAUCUCCCGGAUCAGCACCGCCGACAUCGACCGCUCCAGACCCGCCGCCGACCCGGCGGGAUAAUGUAGCGAAUCGGGGAACGCCGAUGAUGAAUCAGCGGCGGAGGGAGACCAGGAGAUGUUGGGCUCGAGGAAGUCGGGGAGGCCCAGGUAGCGGAAGAGCGUGUUGAUGACUUUCCGGAGGAAGGAGAGGAUGGAGAGAGUGUGGAUUAGGAACUUUGGGAGGAGCAUCUCCGUGUAUCCUAUGGGGAACCCCAUUGAUUUGAUAUGAAUGAAUGAAUGAAUUUCGCAGGGGAUUUAGAGGAAACAGAGGGGAUUGAACGGCAAUGGCGGAUGGAAUUGGAGAAGGGGAUUGGGGGGGAUUUUAUAUUGAAAGGAGGGAGGAGGAUAGGAAAUGACGGAAAAGGGUCGGAGAAAAGAGAGAGAAAAUGAGAUUAAUUCGUGUUUUCCGUUUUUCUUUUUACCUGUGGACAAAAAUUGACUUGAUGUUCGGUGUUGGGGUAGAAAUGACAUUUCAUACGUUACGAUUAUAAUUGAUAUUUGGAUAAUUUUAAAGAUUGUAGCGUGUUUGUUGACCGUUUAAUUGGUGCUGUUCAAAUGUGAAAAUGAAGUUUAAUUCACCCGCACAAAUAAAUUAUUUUAAAACCUUUCUUGCUUAUGUAUUAAUUUUCUUUUCUCAAAAUGGAUAACCUAACUUUUAGAUAUAUAAAUAAAUAAAUUGACAUUCGUAUAAUAUUUAUUAAUUACUUUCUGUAUAUUUAUUAAUUGAAAUGUCUAUAUCCGACAAAAAACAAAGUUAGACAAGGUAAUCNNNNNNNNNNNNNNNNNNNNNNNNNNNNAAUGUCUGAUAGAGUGUAGUCCGUUCUUAAUCCUUUUUGAUUCGAUAUAAGUAAUAUGUUUGCUCGAUCUACUAUUUUUUAUAUUUGUAUGGGAUUCCUAACUCCUUUUUACUGUCAGACUCUAGUAUAAUAUUUUUCAUGAGUGUACAUCAUUUCCAUUCUUCGUUGGGGUAAUUAUCCUGGCACUUCUCCAAGUAGCACGACUUUCAUUAUCCCAAGUAGCACGACUUUCAUUAUCCCGAUACUUCUCUAUGUAGCUUAGAUCUUCACUUUUGUAUUUCUGUNNNNNNNNNNNNNNNNNNNNNNNNNNNNNNNNNNNNNNNNNNNNNNNNNNNNNNNNNNNNNAUACCUCAUAAAAAAAGGUUCGGGGGAAUAUUUAGUUGCUAAGAAACAUUAUGUUGUGUGUUGACAACCCAUAAGUAUCAGGUUCGAAUCUUAUUCAAUUACAUCUCACAAAUGGAAUAAUAUUUUAUUUCCUUUCUAUUUUGUACGAAAUGAGAUGUCUAGUUCACAUGUUAUCUAUUUAUAAGUUAUGCUCGAACCUAAUACUUCAAAAUUUUCAACACAUAAUGCUACCGACUAAACUACUCAACCAUGACAUACUUAGUUCAACCUCUACGAACUAUAAUAAUGAUUUUGAGGUGCACUAUGCUGCUCAUUUAGGCCAUUACUUAACUCAUCAUCAUUAGAAGAAGAAGAAAUUUGAAUGUACAGAAGUGGAGUAAAUAAUCAUCAUAAGCAUGUACUAGGAUUCAUACUUAAUUUGUUUCCCAUGUCUUUCUGAUUUAAAUCACUUUGUGUUGUUAGUUUAAUCAACUAAUUAUACCCAUCAAUUCUGUUCCGGGGGUUAGGCAUAUACACGACCAAAGCUAAAAAGCUCAUGACCAUGCUUUACGCAAUCAACAUAUUCAGAAGCUAACUAAUGAUGAUCAGAAUGAAAGCUUAUUACACUACACAAUCAUACCACUCCACUCGUCUCAAAUACAAUAAUGGUUAGCCAAACAAAUCGUGGUCGAGUAGUUGUAGCAUCUGAUUGUGUUUUUAAAGAUUUUGAGUUUGAAGUUUAAAAUGCGUAAUUAUUUCGGUGUCAUGUGAUGGUAUCAUCGAUCUUACCUAGACCGACGACCAACAAAUCAGAAAUUAUCUAACGACAACAUCACUAAAUAUGAUUUAUCCAACGAUGAUAUUACUAAAUAUUACUCUUCUUUUGUAAAAAUAUUAAUGGUUGGAAUGCAAGGUAUAUGAUUAGCAUAUGAAUAAAGUGGGAAUUUGAAAAUGAGAUAUUUAGUGGUGCUUGUAGGCCUAAGACUAACGCACAAUCUGCAUCAUGGUAAUGAUUGCCGUUGUGGAGCUAAAGCUUUGCAUUUGGAGGCUUGCGAUAUAUAAUAAACCAUUUUAAUUAGGAUGAUGUUAUACAAAACCUGUAUUUUAUUUUGUAUCAUUUGUAUUUUAUUAUAAAUGAAAUAUAAUAAAAAAAUUANNNNNNNNNNNNNNNNNNNNNNNNNNNNNNNNNNNNNNNNNNNNNNNNNNNNNNNNNNNNNNNNNNNNNNNNNNNNNNNNNNNNNNNNNNNNNNNNNNNNNNNNNNNNNNNNNNNNNNNNNNNNNNNNNNNNNNNNNNNNNNNNNNNNNNNNNNNNNNNNNNNNNNNNNNNNNNNNNNNNNNNNNNNNNNNNNNNNNNNNNNNNNNNNNNNNNNNNNNNNNNNNNNNNNNNNNNNNNNNNNNNNNNNNNNNNNNNNNNNNNNNNNNNNNNNNNNNNNNNNNNNNNNNNNNNNNNNNNNNNNNNNNNNNNNNNNNNNNNNNNNNNNNNNNNNNNNNNNNNNNNNNNNNNNNNNNNNNNNNNNNNNNNNNNNNNNNNNNNNNNNNNNNNNNNNNNNNNNNNNNNNNNNNNNNNNNNNNNNNNNNNNNNNNNNNNNNNNNNNNNNNNNNNNNNNNNNNNNNNNNNNNNNNNNNNNNNNNNNNNNNNNNNNNNNNNNNNNNNNNNNNNNNNNNNNNNNNNNNNNNNNNNNNNNNNNNNNNNNNNNNNNNNNNNNNNNNNNNNNNNNNNNNNNNNNNNNNNNNNNNNNNNNNNNNNNNNNNNNNNNNNNNNNNNNNNNNNNNNNNNNNNNNNNNNNNNNNNNNNNNNNNNNNNNNNNNNNNNNNNNNNNNNNNNNNNNNNNNNNNNNNNNNNNNNNNNNNNNNNNNNNNNNNNNNNNNNNNNNNNNNNNNNNNNNNNNNNNNNNNNNNNNNNNNNNNNNNNNNNNNNNNNNNNNNNNNNNNNNNNNNNNNNNNNNNNNNNNNNNNNNNNNNNNNNNNNNNNNUUUUUUUUUGAAAAGUUUAAAAAAACAAAAGCAAUUCAAAGUUUGUAAGGUAUUGGUUGGUGAUUCACACAUCAUCAUCUCAUUGUAGUAUAUACAUCCAUUGAGUUCAAAUAUUCUCAACUCUACCAUGAGAAAGAUAGGCGAGAUGUGUUUUUUCGUGAUUAAGGCUUCGAUAUUUUGAGGAUAUCGGUACAUUUUAUAUUGCAUUUUGCCAUAUUUUGUGUUUAAAAUUAUGAUUUUUGAGGUUGUAGGUUUGUAUUUAGGGUUUAAUAUAUAGUAUUAGGAGUUAGAGUUUAAUAUUUAGGGUUUAGGAUCUAUCAAUUUUGAUUUAUAGUCAAAAGUUAGACUCUGGGAUAUAGUGUUAGGGGUUUAGAAUUCAAGUAUGUGAUACGAUUUAGAAUUUGAGUUUAUGAUGUAGUGUUUGAGGGUUCGGAUUUAAUUUUUAGGGUGUUAGCAUCAUUCUUUUGUGUUUAGGAUUUACUGUAAGGAUUUUAGGAAUUUUUUUAAAAUUUUAAACCUUUAAAAUGUAAGACUUUUAGCAUAUAAAGUACCAGUACCAUCAAGAUACCGAAGUGAAUAUGAGAAAUGUUUCUGGUACCCUCACUAAAAGUAGGGUAACCCAAAUAAUGAAAUAAUCUAAUCUAGACUCAAACAAGAGAAAAAAGAGGGGGAGGGGAGAGAGGCUGAGAGGGCGACGGGAUUGAUAGGGACCAAAAAUUUCUCAAUUCCCUGCUAGGAAAGUUAAGGUACGUAGGGGAGACGAUUGAGGGAGAAAUGAGAGAGCAUGUCGAGUGAGUGAAUGCGCACUAUUAUUAAGAUGAUGUGGUAUGUGCGGAAAAUUUACGAAUAAUUAUAUAUUAAAUUUUUGUUAUUUAGAGUGAUACAUAUUUUUGUUGCAUAAAAAUGUUGCAAUCGAUAAAUUUAAUCACAACAAGUCUAAAGCACAUUUCAAAAAUUCAAUCUUCAUAGUAUAGAAAUAAGCACCGUGGUUUUCAAGUUUCGUUCUCCAGCUACAUUGUUAACUAAACUAACAAAUCAUCUCUAAAAAAGGACCUAAUAUGAAUCAUCUCAUAAUAUGUAGAUUUUUAUCUCGUAAAAAAUAUAUAUAUAAUAUUUAUUCUAUCAGAACUUAUAAAUUACCGAAAUAUUACCCACAUACAUAAAAGGAACUCAAAAGUGAAAAGAAAAAGAUAGACCCAUCAUUUGACAUGUAGGUAACACAUGAAUGGUCAUAUGACCAAAUGUGUGGGGGAGGGAGAUGAACUUUGGUAUCCCAAACACAUCAUCUUGUCAUAAUCUUUGAAUUUGGAGGUGGGUUUGGCCACCCCAUUUUGUUUGUGUAGAAUAAUUUGAGACCAAAUUACAAAAAAAAAGCUACAUCUAUUCUUUUCCUUUAUGCACUUUUUUUUAUAAUAAAUUAAAAUUGAUUUUGGUCUUCUAUAUUUAGGUUAAGUUUCUUUCAAGAUGGUAACCCUAUAACCACUCCCAUUCCCCACUUUGUCUUUGGACGUCAAGGCCAAGCCAAGCCAUUUAUUUGUUGCUUUGCCUCCCCCCACCACCACUUUCUUUCUCUUUGCCUUUUGGUUUUAUGGUGGGGUUGCAUAAUAUAACUGUUCUUCAUCAUCAACAAGCAUCCGUCAAUUAUGUAUAAAUGGAUUAGAUUUAAACUUGGUAUCUCUGAAUUACAAAUUUUAAAUUCAAAUACGAUUCUUUUAUUAUGAUACAAAUUAAAUAAAGAUAACUUGUGGGUUUUAGAUUGGUUGCAACUUAGGGUAGAAUUGUUCCUACUAGGUUGGAUUGGAUUUUACCCAACUGGCCAACUCAUUGAACAAAAUAGACAAAAGUACGUGGUAGGAGAAUUCUAUAUACUUCAAACACAUCACACUUACAAAUUCCUACCUAGUCACUCUCAUGGAGAAAAUAUAAAAUUUUAUAGUGUGUUUAUUUGGUGUACGUGUGAGCCCUUGUCUCAGUUGACUGUGGUAAUAAAAAGGAUAUUUGCAUAAAAAAAUAUAUUAAUUAUAUUAAGUUUGUAUAAAAUGUGAUACUCAUGAUAUACAUAUUACGUGAUAAAAGAUAAAUGGUAACAUGAAUUUAAAAUCGACUCUCUAAUGAUGUAAAUAGAUGAUGAAUUUAUAUGCGUAAUUUUUUAUAGAGCCCACAUCGACAAAAUAUGAGAGACAUUUAUAGGUUGUAACAAACAUUUUGACUGUAACCGACAAUGCAAGACGUGUUUUCGGAUCAGUGCAAUAAAUGAGUUCUUGUAAGAACUCUGAAGUUAAACAUGUUUGGGUAGAAGCACUGUGAAAGGGUGACCUCUUGAGAAGUCACCACGAUGCACCCCCAAAAACAAAUACGUGAGGGGUUUAGACUCAAAGCGGACAAUAUCUUUUCGGAAAAGAUCAAGGGUGUUGCAAUAGGCAUCUGCAACGGAAUAACGGAUUGACGCCAGACCCGACACUAAUCCGUCCUUAAGAAAAAAAUGGCUCGUCAAAUUCGGAUCACUUUUAUUUCGGGUGAUAAUCUACGAAUAUCUCAAAGUCCUUAAUUUUCGAGCGGGUUUGGACAGGUUAAUGGGUCGAAUCUAAAAUUACCAAAGCCGUAUGGUUUCACCCCAUAUUUUUAUUAUUAUUUAUACAAAUAACCCUUUCGUCUAACCCCGACAUUUAAUGAUGCCGUCGUUAGGUAAACUCCAGGGUAACCAGCCAUAUCUCUAAAAACAAAAUCAUAUACUACAACUACUAAACUAUAACCCGUUUGACGGAACCACUAAUAUAUAUAUAAAAUGUUUCAAUUAUUAAAUAAGUACUAUAUACAAAAUACAAAAUACAUAUGAUUGAACAAGCUCGUACGUAUAUGCAGCAAGCACGUAGUGGUGUGUCAAAAACCUGUCUUGGAAAACCAACAUCAAUGUAAUGCAAGUUGAGGGUCUGAUGCUUCGUGUCGAAUGCAGCCACAACACAUCUUAUGUAUAAUUGGCCCCUACACCACAGGCCACGACUGAUCAGAGGGGAGAAGAUGUUGAGAUCCAGAACCCCACAAACACACAUACAAAAACCAAACCUGCUGCCUGCCACCAUCGAUCCAUCCAUCGCUGUUUAAUUAUAUUGGACUCAAACGCUCUGCCCACUGCACCACCACCACCUCCUCCUCCUUUGUCUCUUCCUCUGUCCUUCUUCUUCUACUUCUUCUUCAUGCUUACUGGCCUACUCCAGCUGUAAAUUUUUGUUAAAUUUUCCAGCUUGGAGGGUUGAUUAUUAUAAUUAUUAGAUGGUCCGUACAUGAACAGAAGUCAUUUAGUACUACAGUUAUAGAUAUAUGUAACAUGCUUUUCAACGUGAUGUGUUUCCCUCUCCGCUAAUUAAUUACCAUUUGCCUACUUGAUCAUCAUUUCUGUCGGAUUUUAAUUAGUAAUUUACAACUAGCUAGCUUUACAUAUGGUAUCAACUGUGAAUUUAAUUGGUGAUUUUAAUUUAGCUAGAAUCACAUGUUUGUGUUCUUAUAUUGUGUUUAUAGUUUUAUUGUUUGAUGCUUUAGAGACAAUUCCAACCAUCCCACAAUGUCAAACCGCACAUGAAUCUUUAAGUGGUUGAACAAAAUCACUUCACAUAUGAUCAUAGGGAAUCAAUCAAGACACAACAUGUGUGUAUACCGUCAUACAUCCUUCAAACUCUAUAAAAAAAAACUAGUUUGGAUGUUUCAUGUGAAUCGCGCAGUUAAUUGCGACGAAAUUUGAUAACAAUUUCGACACGGAACUCUUGAACUCGAAAUCUUCGACAAGGGGUGGAAGCAAGAUAGAUUACCGUCCACGAACGAGAGUGAAUAUCUCGCCGAUACGAUCAGCGGUCCUCCAAGCACGAAUCGGCACACGCUUAAAUGAACCAAUGAUCCUCCAAAUACGAGUCGGCACACACUCAAACAAAUCAAACGAGUAUAAAACUCAAACUCACAAAACUCAAUUUAUUAUCUUCAUGGUCUAUCUUCUACGUACAAAUAACUAACAUUUAUACAGGCUUUCAAACUUAACCCCUAAGUAAAAUAAUAAUAAACUAAUCAUUAAUCCUACAUAGAAAAUUAAAUAAACUUCUACUAAAUAGGCAUAUUUUAAUAUUCAUCCCGUCCACUUUAAUUGAGCAUAUCUCAUUGAAUUCUUCUAAUCUGAUGGCCCAUAAUAUAUGGAUGAAAAGGUAAUUGAAUUAUCUUUCCAACACCCGGAGUCCUGACAAGAAAAUAAUGACCGAGAUACUAACUGGGCAGAAUCUACGCGGAUUUCUAUCCAUGUUUUACAAUUUCACUUCUAAAGCACUUAUAUAAGUUUUAGCGUCCAUAACCUCUAGAGCACUUAUUUAAGUUUUAGGGACCAUAUGGUUACUAAAGGUCACUGGCGACUGUUAUAACCUAGUAGUAACUGUGUACCGGGAACAAUUUUUGGAAAAUCCUUCGAAUUAUAUUUUCUUGUAGUAGGCGGAAAAUCGAUAAUAUCCUAAUCUAUUUAAUCAUCUAUCUAUUAAUCCGGAAUCCGUUAGCUACCCAUCAUCAUACAAUAGCAUCUCAGUAAUAAAAUAAAAUUUAUGGUGAACAUUUGGGGAAUCUAUAACAAAUGAGUACAGAUAGUCCACCAGGUUUUAGGACCACCAUAUACAUCCCACGACAGUAUGAUCAGCAGCUCUGAUUUACACUAAUUAAUAACUGAAAAAUUAAUUAAACAUGUUACCAUAUAUAAGUUUAUUCUGCCUGCUCCAGAGGUUGUCUGCACUACUAAAACAAAAGCAUGAAGACGGCAGAUUCCCAUCAUCUUUGCUGCAAUAUUGUCAGGAAAUGUCUUCGGUUGGAAUAAAAACAAUAUUGUGGAUAAGACAGAAUAAUGGUAACAGACUUACAGACGACUGUAAUUAAAGUGCACCAAUUUUAUAUUAAAUUAUGGCUAGUGUUGAGUUAUCACACAUCAAACAUUGAGAAUGGUCAUGUGAAAGCAUGUGUUGGCGAUCACUGGGUGGGGGGAAUGAUAUGCAUAUAUAGUCAGGCAUGGGACAAAACAUCACGUGGCUGCUUCCAGACUUUGCUGCUGAUUCGUCCAAGUCCACAGUUAUCCGACCAUCAUCAGUUGUUUAUAAUUGUGAUGUUUGAUUCGCAUUGCUGAUCUUGAUCAUAUAUGGGAUCAAAUAGUCAUUGUGUGUAUGGAAGACUAAUUGUAGAUUUAUGUUCUCGCCGAUGGUUUUGAUUCGUAAGGAUUAGUUGUUGAGGGUGAUGUCAACAAAAAUUACAGGGUAGGAUAAAAAAUAUUUAUCGAAAAGAUAAGGAAAACAAGAAAAUGAAGGUGGUUUUAGUGCGAAAGGUUUAUAACUAAUGACAGAGAGUUUGAUAUUAAUUUCUGGAAUGUUCUUUUGAUUUCGUUUCUCCACGAAGUCCUUUUUAAUUUAGCAUGCGGUUUGCUAGCUAGGGGAAUGACAACCAACUAAAUGUGAUCAGGGGCAUUGAAGCUGAUGACUUACCGACGAUGGUGGUGCGAUCAUCGGUGGACCACCGACAUCAACAAUCGGAGGAUGACUGAAUUGAAUGAGACGAUAAACUUUCAUUUCCCCCCCUAAUCGAUAUGAACCUUUGGAUCAAAGUAAUUAGAUCCAAACAGUCCAUAUUUUAUUUGAUACAUUAAGGAAUAAUAUUUUCUCGCUGCCGGUAUAAAUCUACCAAAUUAACAUCAUAUAGUGACAAUUUGAAGUUCAAAUAUAGUGGGGAUCAUGAGUAGUUAAUUUGUAACUUGUUACUAAUUUAUAAAUUCGUGAUCAACAAAAUUAAACAAGGUGUUAUUUAGCAUGUAGUCAAUAUUGUUUUAUAAACGACUAUGUAAAAUUCAGGGUUGGAUAUUAGGUUGGGUCAUUUGUUGAAACCACCCAAACUUGUCCAAAUUAACCUACCCAAAUAGAAUUGGGUUGUUUCAAAUGGAUGGGUGUGGGUCAUAUAAUGAUUUAACCGACUUGAAUUGGGUGUGGGUGUGGGUGUGGGUGUGGGUUUGAUUCAACCCGACAGACCCGACCAACAUAUGAAGGCACGCUACUUCCAUUAUAUUUCAGUACGUAUCGAACUUCCAAUUUGACCUAAGCAGACAAUAUAAAAACCUCUCUCCAUGGAUUCUCUCUCCUAUUUUUUGACAUUUACUGUGGAUUCUGAUCUACUUGACUAUCUCUUAAAUUUUUGACUCAUUUCAUUUAUCUAGAACCAUAAUUUAGGGUUGGAUAAAUUGGAUUUGGUUGUAUUUAUGAUAGUGGUUUUAAAUUAAUUAAAAGUUAGUAUUUGUUAUGAGACUUACCUAAAAUUGAUUCCAUAACAACAAUUUAUCUCUCUGAAAAAUACCUCUAGCGUUCAGCCAAUUCUCAAUACUGAACAAAAUUCUCUUAGCUUCAAGCUCAGAAGACGUCUCCUUGUCAUUAAACACUCUUUCAUUUCUUUCAAGCCAAAUGAACCAAAGCGUAGCAUGUAGAAUCACCUUCAUGUCCGAUUUAAAGAGAGGGUUGCAGUUCAAACCUUGCCACGCAACAAUGAAGUCACUCACAGAGGAAUGCACCAGCCCGUAUAUGGAAAGCCUUGAACUAAACAUUUCCCAAACCGACAAAGAAAACGCACAAUGAAGGAAUAAGUGAUCGAUCAAUUCGGAGUCCUUCUUGCACAUAGGACAACGGUUUGUCAAGUGAAAGCCUCGGCUUUGUAAUUUAUCAACUGUUGCAACUUUCUUCAGGUAAAACCGCCAACAAAAGCAUUGAACUUUAGUGGGAGCAGCUCGUUCCCCAAGGACCUAACCGUGAACCGAGACGAUGUCUCCAAACUCCACACCAUGAACGCCGGCCCGCAAGUGAAGAUGUCCUCUGGGAGGGUCGCCAAGUGAUGGGUCAGGCAGUUCCAUUCCGCAAGGGCACCACCUCUUAACGUAGUAGUGAGUGGAAAUGCACUAUAGUUAUCAUCAUAUCCAGCAUCAUGUGAGCUCACGUAACCAAUAUAAACUUCUGUUGAAUAAGUCUCUAUCGUCUGUCGAUCUAAUCUAUCCUCUCACGUUCAUUUAUGUGCCAUAUGCAUGUUUGUUCAUUAAUAGUACGUAAGGCGAUGAUGAUUCGUUAAUAAUUAUAAAGCAUAUUUUAAAUAAUCAUGAUGGUGAUCGCACACGGCUGCCCUCUCCACUCGUAGCAUGCACGACUUUUUCCUAGGGCUAGCACCUGUAAUUUUGAUUAAUUCUAGGGCUAUUAUUAUUAUUAUUAUAACUAUUAGUUAUAAUGAUUACAAGACAACUAUCGAUUCCAGAACUUUAAGUACAGAAAUGCAUAACUACUAACCCUAUGACUGUGGCUUCUUUGUUCUAACUAACAUAACUUAACAAUGCAAAGGAAAAGUCUAUAAUACUGCUGCAAGUAGCUAAUGGAGAGUGGAUAGUUCACUCUCUGAAUCGUGGGUUGGACCUUGGUGGUGGAGCGGCCCGACGAGCUUGGUUGUGUGGGCUUCGUGGCCUAUCACGUAAUUAUUCUCAGACUACACAUUCAGUCAGGUUGGUUUUGUCACGUUGCAGACUACAGAUUAUACACCAAAGAACAGAGAAUAGAAAUGAAACUCUAAGCUGUAAACAAAUAUAUAAGAACAGAAAGGAACAAUGCUAACUUGCUAUAUUUUCUUGCAUUGGUCCAGAAGGUAAUUACAGAAAUCCCUUCUCUGAUCAUACCAUGGAGAAAGGUUGAAACUCUACUUUAAUUAUGCAAGGAGCUGAGUAUAAGCUUUGGAACAUGAUCGAAAAGUUAUUGUGAGAGCUUUUCAGUGCAGUGACGAGUUCGCUGGAAGUACGCAACCGGCGAGUGAGAUUCUAUCAACUUUUUGGUGUGAAUUCGACCUAAUACUGGUCGACUAAUCCAGUCGAGUGAGAGUCUAUUAACUCUUUUUUUUAACGCUGUUACGAGGGACGAACCUUGAUUCGUCCUUUCGAAUCUAACCUCUAACAUCAUUUCACAAACAGCUGGUUGGUGUUGUCUUAUUAGCAGAUAAAAUGACUAAGCAAUAAUUCUAUGGGCAGAUUGGGCUUUGACGUAGAAUUAUGUGCUGAUGGGCUUUGAGGUCCAACAGAGUUCAACCCACAUACCUUUAUUUGCAUUGUCGGGCUUCAGUCGCAAAUAACCCAAAAUGUGGGCCCAAUUAUUAAGCCCCUGUUCAUCAGCCCAUAUGACUUGAAGUUCAUGUUGCACAGUUUCUAGGACAUUAACAAACUUUAUUAAUUAGGUAUACCAAAUUAUAAAGGGUAGCAAUUAUUGGUUGUUCACUUUAAUUUUUAAUUAUGAGUUUGAAAGUUUUUUUUUUCAAAAAUGGAGUACACUGUAUGACCAUUUAUUAAAUAUUUACGAUAAAAAAAUCGAUUAUUAUUAUCAACGAUAAACACCCUAAUUACACUAAAAAAUUAAUUAAAUAUACGAAAACAUUAGAACCAAAGUAAAAAAAAAAUCUAAUGAUUGACUGUGCAUAAGAGUAGAGAGAGGUGUAUAUUUUGUAUUGGGUUUUGCUGUUUAAUUAGAUUCAUGAUCAACCAUUGAACUACGCUAAUGCCGACAUAACAAUCCUUCACGAGGGUUCAUCAACUAUUGAACAUUUGAACUACAAUAUAUCAAAAUUGAUAAUCACUCAACCGUAACUAUCGUGAGGGUCCAAGUUGAUUUGGGAUUCUAACAAUGAGUUGGUUUGUUUACGAAGAACGAGUUGGAGUCACAUUUUUUGAAUAGACUUUUUUUUGAAAUUUUGUAGUUAGGUAUUUCUCAGCAAAAAGUAUAAAAACGUAAGUAUGAAACACUUGUAAGGAAGUGUAGCCGAUUGUAUAUGAAUAAGAGAGGGAGAAAGAGAAGUAUGAGGAGUUGACGUCCUUAAGUGAAGAUUAGAUUUAAGACUUUUUUGUAAUGAAUAGGACGUCUAAACGUUAAGUAGUAUUUUGGAAUAAGAAUAUAAAAUUUCUUCCUCUUUGUUGAAUAAUGGUCUUUCCUUUCUUAACAGUCCUGAAAUGCGAGUUGGAUGAAAGAGCUAUCAUAGGUGAAUCUAGACCCUUAAACAAUAGCUCGUUAUCUAGAUUUCUUUUUCGAUCAAAUGCAUUACCUGAGUUUUGAACAUAGUAAACAUCAAUGUUAGGAAGAAUGUAUGUACAAUUGUCAUUUAGUAAUCAGAUGUUGAACAUGGUGCCUCGUAAGUCCAAUUUUGCAAUGCUAGGUAUCCAUUGUUGUAUACAUUACAAUGACAAUGGAAGAUGUCGUUUUGUAGUAUGAUUAAAUCAAAGGUGACAUAUGGAGCCCUUAUCAUUACGAUAAAUAUUAAGGUAGUCUGUUGAUGGGGCAGCAUUAGCUACCCCCCCUAAUUGCUUGUUUAUCUUUUUAUUCACGUCAAAGCAAAAUCAUUGACUGUUGCUAAUGCUAUCAUCAUCACCCUUUUUUGACGUCAAAUUGAUAUAUAAAAUAUUUUAUAAUAAAUUAAACAUUUUACGUAACAAUUGGACAACUUUCUUAAAGUUUGCUUCAUCAUAAAAAGUGAUAAUUCAAAACCAAAAAAAUUAUAAAAUUUGUGUGUAAAAAUAUGAUAAAUCAUUUUUAUCUUUCAUACAAUUUUACUAAUAAUUAGAAAGUUUUUACAUAAUUUUGCUUCGUCAUAAAAAAGUUUUAACAAUUAAUCGGGUUGCUAUGCUACCUUAUUCAAGUUUGAUGCAGCGAUAUGUGGUCUAUUGUUUUCUUAUGAUUGUUUUGUAGGUUUGGGUUUGGAGUUAACAGAUGUUUCUUCUCAUUUGCUCAUCGUUUGUGGACUUGUGGUGAGGUUGUUUUGUACAUUACAGAGUCCUUAAGGUUGAAGUUUCUAUCUGUUUGAAGUAGCGGCUCAACAGUGAAAUUUCGAAAGUGUUGCUAUUCAUACCAACAACUUAGAAGUCGGCCUCAUCCUUUCAACUGUUUAUAUAUCCGUGUGAGCGUUCUCCUUUAAGAUUGUCGGGAAUAGAAAAUAGGAUGGUUAAGAAUCUCAGAUCGGAUCGGCCAGUCCGAUUGGUUCGACUACAAACCAGCCAAAUAGCCAAAACUGAGUAGCUGGUUGAUGAGAAUGGUUAAACUGGGCGUUGACCCGGUUUGAUCGUGAAAUUCGGCCUGUUCGAGCGAAAUUGUUUAGCCGGUUGGACCCAAUUUUUAUGGCUACACUUUUUAUUUUUAAAAAAUGUGGAAGCGAAAUUCAAACCAUGGUCUUUCAAGUAAAGAAGAUGGGUGAUUAUCAUCUCCCCUAAUAUCAUAAUUUAAUUAUACAUGCAUUUAAUUGAUAAUAAUAAACAUCAUAGUAGCUAAUUAACACUAAAAAAGUAGUAUCUUAUCAUAAAUUAAGUAAAUUGUACAUUAGAUCUCAAUUAUUUAAUUAAUAAAAAUUUUAAAUCAUUUAUAUAUUUUAAAAUUUUAUAGAAAAAUAAUUUAAUAACUAUAUUUUUGAUAAACUAAAUUAUGAUAUUGAACUUUUUAUACUAUAAGUUUGAUCCGGCUCAAUCAAAAAAUCGUUCAGUCCAACUUAACUAUAUUUAAUUAAUUAUUAAAAUAAUCCAACCCAAUUUUAAAAACGAUUGAAUCCCGAUCGAAUUAUCAAACUCUUAACCCCUAAUCUUAGUGAUUCAAUCUCCGAUUCGAUUUUCAAAAUAAAAAAGGGAUUUCGCUGUGCUUUUGCGGGAAACGAAACUCUUUUAACUUUCCAAAUUGUGGAAAAAAUAUCUCACCCUCUUGACUCUUGUCUCCGUCGCCCGGUUUAAAAAAUCCAUUUGUUAUUUUCUUCCCUUUCUUUGCCGUAAAUCCUCUGUUUCCCACUCCCUUCUUCGUCUCUAUCUCUCUGCAUUUUCUUGUUCCUCAUCGAUAAUGGCUAACCUUAGCAUAUGCCAAAUUGCCAACCUCCAAUGCAGAAUCCAAAUAGCUAAAUGACAACAAUCUAAUCCUCUCCCUCCCCCCCAAAAACCCAUCUUCUUCUUUAUUAAAUUUCCUUUCAUGGCCACCACUUCCAUUCCCACCACCACCACCACCACAACCACUCCCUCUCCUUCUCCAUCUCCCACCACCGUCGCCGCUGCCGCCAAUACCCGCGCCCAUCUCACUGUCCAGGCCCAACCCAUCAAGCCCAAACGCCGCAAUUACCGCGAAACCACUAUUUCCUCCUCCGCCUCCGCCGUCGAAGAAGAAUCCUCCGCCGCCUCGUUGUUUGAGAUUCGCUUUGAUUCUUCUCCGGCCAUGGACUCACCCAACGGCCAUUACUCUUCCUCCCCUUCCAAUUUCACCAAAUUCAACUCCGCUCUAACCGCGGGUCUCCUCAACCCGAUGUCUCCCCCGCCGGAUCGUAUGACCCGCUCUAGCCCCACCCUGUUCGAGAUGAUGGCAAACGAGCACGAUUCUUCUUCUUCGCAGCAGCCGCCAAAGACACCGAUUCCGACCACCAUCACAGCCGUCGUUCCCAAAAUCCCUCAACCGCAGGCGACGGUGGCGCAGCGGAUCGCGGAGAUACUGGGCAGCCGGAGCCCCGGGAACCAGUUCAACGACUGUUCCUCCGGCGAUGUGAAGCUGACUUUGAGCUCGAAAGAUGGGAUUAGCGUGUCGAUUAGCGUCCACAGGCAUAUUCUGGUGGCUCACAGCCGGUUCUUCGCUGUCAAGCUUUCGGAUCGUUGGGCUAAGCAGCAGGAAGCUUCUCCCUCGGGGCCGUACGUUGUUGAGAUUGCUGACUGUGAUGACAUUGAGGUUUACAUUGAGUCUCUAAUGUUGAUGUAUUCCAAGGAUUUGAGGAGGAGGCUCAUGAAGGAAGAAGUCUGCAAAGUCCUCGACAUCUUGAAGGUAAAGCAAAGCAUCAAACUUUUUAGCUCUUUUUAUUUGUAGGAUGAAAUGAACGUUAGGAGAAUGAACUGCAACUUGUGUGGUUGAUUAGAUGCAAUGCCAGGCUAACAAAAUUUCAAAUUUGGGGUGAAUUGCAAAGCACACCUGGUAGAAUGAAUUGCAGUUUUGACAAUUUCACAUAGAAUUUCAUCAAUCUGAAGCCAAGGUACCCUUCGCGGCGGUUUAGGUUCGCCCAUCCCUGGUUCCGCUAUUUAUGAUAUGAAUGGUGAAAUCAAUGGAGUAGUGCGACUUUUGUGGUUAAUUAGAUGCAAUAGCGGAACUAGAAUGAUCACAGACCCUGAAAAAAUUUCAACUUUGGGGUGAAUUUUAAAGCACCAUGGGUGAAACACCAGACAGAACUUCACAUUUUCACAAUUUUACAUAGAAUUUCAUCAAUCUGGAACCAAGGGACCUAGCAGUGGCCUGAUUCGCCCAGCCUGGUUCCACUAUUGAUUUUAGAUGAAUGGUGAAAUCAAUGGAAUAUUGUUUAAACGUUUAAUGGAGUUAUUGUUUUGUAUUGGUUUUCCAUUUUUUUUUUCAGGUUUCAGCAGCGAUAGGAUUUGAUGCAGGGGUGUUAUCAUGUUUGGAGUACUUGGAAGCUGCUCCAUGGGCAGAAGACGAGGAAGAGAAAGUGGCUUCACUACUAUCGGAGCUGCGGCUCGAAGGAAUCGGUGCAAGGGAUGUUCUGAAGAGGGUCUCCGUUGAAGUUAACAAUAAUGGAGGAGUGGAAGAGAACGGUCUAGAUAAUAAUGAGGAAGUGAUUGUCAAGCUCCUGCACGUUGUUCUCGAAGGUAAGGACGAGAAGGCCAGGCGAGAAAUGAAAGUGCUGGUUGCAAAGAUGCUCAAGGAGAAUGCUUCUUCUUCUUCUUCACAGCAGACCGAUCUCAGGAAGGAGUCGUUGUAUUCAGCUUGUGAAGGGUGUCUCCAACUGCUUCGUAACAAAUUUCUCGAGGCAAGAUCGGGGAAUUUUAAGGAUGUCGGGCAGAUUGCUCGACAGGCUGACAACCUGCAUUGGUUGUUGGACAUAAUGAUCGACAGACAGAUCGCCGAGGAGUUUUUGAAAACAUGGGCAUCGCAGACUGAACUCUCCGAAGCGCAUUCCAAAGUUCCUGCAGUCCAUAGGUACGAGGUGAGCAGGGUUACAGCAAGGCUGUUCGUUGGCGUCGGAAAAGGACAGAUGUUGGCUUCGAAAGACGCGAGAUUCAUGCUUCUGCAGACAUGGUUGGUGCCGUUCUACGACGAUUUCGGAUGGAUGAGGAGGGCGCAUAAGGGUCUGGAUCGGCAUUUGAUCGAGGAAGGUUUAAGUAACACUAUUCUAACCUUGCCGCUAGCUUGGCAGCAGGACAUUCUGCUUGCCUGGUUCAAUCGGUUCCUUAACUCCGGUGAGGAUUGCCCGAACAUUCAGAGAGGGUUCGAGAUUUGGUGGAGGCGGGCUUUCUGGAAGUGCGGUGGGGAUCAGGUAAAGGCUCCGACUUGGAGAGUCGUUUCUGCAACUACUACUGCUGAGAAGUGAGAACUCAUGAAAGAGUUGUCUUUCUUCAGAGAGAGAAAGCCUUUUGUUCUUGUUUUUGUUCCUUUUAAUGUACAUUAUUUAUUUAUUAUAUGAUAGUGGAAGGAGUACUUCUUCUGAGAAAUGGUGGGAUGGAUCAUUGAUUACGUGGUACACUUUUUGAACAGUAUUUACUGAGAAAGGGUCAAGGUCUGGAAUGCAAGUUUGAUUAUUGCUGCUGAUACCUUAACUGAAAUGACAGUGAUUUGGUUCUGUGACUGUGAGGAUAAAAUCUCAUUCUGAUAGGAACUGACACCCCUCAUUUACACCCAUAACUACAAGCUGGUGUCUUUUUAUUAUUGCUGCCUUGUCAGGGUGGCUGAAGUGAAGGAUCAUUUUAUGCUGUGCUUGCAAACAUUGUCCGCUGGGCUUUCACUUUUCAGGGUUCAUCAGACGGCUAAGUUGAAGUUGUUUUAUAUUAUGACAACACAUAUAACAUAAUGGGGAUGUAGCUCAGAUGGUAGAGCGCUCGCUUAGCAUGCGAGAGGUACGGGGAUCGAUACCCCGCAUCUCCAAUAUUUUUGAUACAAUUUUUUACCAAAUGAAUGAGUUAAACAGCUGUCCCAUUCGUUCCAAUAAUAGGUUUGACGGGACUUGGUUGGUAUACUGUUCUUGACAAGAAUAUUUUUCUCUGCAUCAUUAUGAUAUUCGAUUUCUUUGUCUCCCCAGUACAUCACAUUAACAGUUGAUAUUUUCGAACAAAACAUCUAAUGUUUUCAUGAUAGUGCCGACAUCAAUAGUAGAAGCUAUUUGAUCUAAGCAGUAGACUGUUGCUGUACAAUGAUUUCAUUCAUCAUCAAUUGUGGAACUUCACAACAGGUGUUAUUCUGUAAAAUGCUACACAGCGGGAUCUAGAAGUAGGCUAGGAUCGAACUGGAGACUUUGAUAACCACUAAAGAACAGCAGCUGUACAAAGCUAUACACAGAAAGUACAAGUGCAUGCAGCUUCAUUCAUUAGUGCUUGUUGUCAAGCUCUGCAGCAAUAGCAUCCAAAUGAGGGAAGAAAGAGUUCACUGUGGGGCAAUCAUAGUUCAGUUCCCCAGGCCUCGCAUGUUUUUGCCUGAAACCAACCAACACAAAACUCUCACAUUAACUUAACCUUCAUUAACAAUCAUUAUAGUUAGCUCAAACUGUUUUAUCACAAGUUUGCUUAACUUACCAUUCCUGAUCAUUAAGCAUCUCCUCUGUGAGUCCAAACUCUCGCAGUUCUUCCUCGCUGUGAUGCAUCAAUAGACUGUACCUCCCACCGUAGCCUCUCUCCAUGACUAACAUGCCGGCAUUGCCAAAGUUGUGGAGCCUCUCGUAUUGCUGCACCGUCCAUUUGUACCACCUCAUCAGGAACACCCGCAGAGUGAGGCCGUGUGACACUAUAACCAAGUUUAUGUCCUCGCUCUUCUCCCCCGGUGGCUGGAACCUCCCCACGUCUAUGUCCGAUUUCAACGUCUCCCUAAACCCUACACAAUUGGACGUACAUGAAUGGUUAGAUAACAACAAGUCAGAGGAGAUCGAAUUCUGUCAUUCCACAAAUCUCGGAAAUCUUUACUAAGACAACUAAUCCUGGCCAACACAUGGUUUGGCAGGUGGAAAGUUGGAUAGUACAUGUAAAAUUAUGCAACCGGGCUAACUUACAAACUGAAAUGAGCCUGCCCACAAACCAAAGUCAACGUGGACAACUAGUCGAGCUAACUUGUUAGCUUUAAUGAGGCAUGUAAUCUCCUAGCUCAAGCUUGGCUCAUCGGCAAUCAAGCCGGCUCACUUGGCACAACGUUACCAAGCCAAGUUCAUUAGUUCGACGCGCUUCUUAUGAGCCGACUGCCAAACUGCUUAUAAGCGGCUUUGUUAACAGCCUGGCGACUAGACUACCAUUGGAUUGUUAUAAUCAAUAGCGGAAUUAAGACCGGACAAACCUAGGCCACUGCCUAGGGUCUCUCAAGUACGGAGUGAUAAAAUCCGAUAUAAAACUUGCAAGUGAAGUUUUUGCCCCGUAAACUUAAAAUGCUGCCUAGGGUCUCUGACCAUUCUGAAAUAAUCUUUACGGUACAAACCAAUAACUUAGAUCGAACAUUACCGGUAAUCCUGUCAUAGACAUCGGCCGCAGAUUCUCCAUUAGGAAACCUGAAGAAGAAGCGACCAUACAGAUUUCUUAAAACUUUCUCAACUCUCAUCCUCUCCCUGUCCUGGAAAUUCCCUGUUUUCGCCACAAAACCAGACCCAACACAACUAUUAGAAAUCGACUCACAAUAAACGAAAUAAAAAUGGAUCGAAAAAGAGAUGACACAAAUAAUUUUAAGUGGCCACUAACUCGAAAGGAUUUACAACGAUUUGGAAUAAUUAAAACUGACCAAAGUCCUGUUCCCUCAAUCUCGGCUCUUCCCUAACCCCAGAAAUCCUCCCCCUUUCGAAAGCCUUCCCCAAAUGCUGCAGAGUCUGCCUCGUCCUCUUAUAAGGAGACACAUAGAAAUAAACUUUCCAAUCAUCUUCAUCCUCCGCCCCAAUAACAUUCUUCUCAAUCAUCUCCCUGAUUCUCACCCCGCAUUCUUCCGCUUGAGCUUUCCCCUUAUGGGUCAGCUCGAUUUUCGGGUCGGCCACUCUCGUGUAAGCGCUCUCGUCCACGUUCCCCUCGCUCUGUCCGUGCCGGACCAAGAUUAUCCGCCGCGGCCGCGGCGGCCGUGCACGAGUACUACCGACGUCGUUGAUCAAAUUGUGGGGAACCGGCUUCCCAUUUGAGUUGUUGUUGAUGCAGCAUUGGACAGUGAAGGUGGGUGAAGGAGGGAGAUGGAAAAGGCUGGCCAUUGCUUGUGGUAAUAAAGUGAAAGUGGUGAGAAAUGAUUCAUCUUUUUUCUUCUGUACCAACCAUAGAAUGGAAUUGAACAGCUAAGUUCAGCUCCAGAUUUUAAAAUUUGGGUCUGAUCAGAGUGAGGAUUAGAUAAUGGACGGUUGAAGUUUGUUUGUUGGCAGUGGCAUUAUCUCUUAUCCCUUUGGAGGCUUUGGCCAAUCAUUUUUGUGUAUUAGUUCGUCUUCAGUGGAGUGACGGGACGCUAAUGAUGACCAGGCCAUGCUUGGGUUUGACUAGGGUGGUUGAAGAGUAACUAAGAAAAAAUUCAAUUAUGAUACUAGUUUGAGUCAUGCAAUAUGUGUUUUUUUCGAAUACCAUAUACGAUAAAUUAUAAUUUAAUUUGUCAUUAUGGUAAUGAGAAUGCAAGUGGUACAUUACUUACAUUUAACUAUUUUAAUUGAGAAAAAUUAAAACUUGGAAAUUCUACGAUAGUUUGUUUUAUAGCUUGACUCGUCUGUAUUUUGUUUCGUAUUACAAGCUUUAAAUUCAGCUCAAUUUGAACUCUACUACUCUUACAUUAAGGAUUCAUUUGCUAUUUACACCGACUCGACGGAAGUAGCAAGUUACUCAACUCAUUGAUCUUUGGAAUUCGCGUUGUCAUGCUACUAGUGGAGUACGGUUCGUUGCUUUGCUUUGCUUCAUUUCAUGCCUGAGGUUACCGUCUUAUCGUCUAUCACAUAUCACGUUAGAAUAAAUAUUGCCAAUUUAUUACAUUAGAGACUCUACGUUAUCCCGACGCUCAUCACUCAUUAAUAUUGUUACAUUAUAAUAUCUCACGUUAAUUAUUUUUCUUAUCAAGAAUCGAUACGUCCAGCUCCAGAAAGUCCAAUUUUUUUACUGCUACUCUUUUAUUAUUAAAACAUUAAAUGCUGGGCUUAUAAAAUUCAAGAGAAUCUCAUUCGUAGCCCCUUCUCUUUCUCUAUUACAGCGCCUUCUCAUCGUCAAAAUCUUCCAAGCUCACAGGAUCUCAAUUUCAUCCGCAUUUUGCCGCUACAACCGCCACGAACCCUGAAAAGCUUUCGUCUGCGUUUCCCGGUUCGUCCUCGAUGCCUAACUUAUCUCUGAUGGUUCCGAACCAGAUUCGGCUCUUGCUUCAGAGCUUGAACGGAGCCAACGUCGACUCCGUUUUCCGGGAGCUCUGUCAGGUACCCUUUCUUUGCUCUUCAGUCCUAGUCCUUCUAUUGAGUGCUGUCGGGUGAUCCGAUUUUUGUAUUGAUUGUUGAUUUCUACUUUGGAAUUCGCCUACUAUGGAAACCCUAAAAAAAUUUCUGGUUGUUGUUUGAUCCUUGGUCGAUAGCUCGUUGUGGCUUAGAUCGAUGUCAAUCCUGUAUGUUUUUUCUUUUAGGAUGUGUCGAUGUUUCUGACGUCCUCAUUGCUGAGCUGAGACUGACACUCUUCCUGCUAUGUUUUUACCAUUUCUGGUUUCAGUGAAUAAAAAUAGUUACUUUCUACUUGCGAUUUGGUGUACAGUAAUGGAGGGCCAUCUCCGCCUACAAUGUUCUUGAUUGCAGCUUUGGUUUUUAAAUAGUCAUUGUAAGGAAUCUAGGAUACAUGGUGGUGCUUUAUCCUUUUCAUGACCCUGGGAUUAGAUUAAUGAAGUAUACUUUUUCAAGUAUUAUCUUGGUUCUUACCCCGGAUGUAAUGAAUCAGUUGUUUUGUCCUUCAGCGACUAAUAAGUUGUCCUAUUAUUUCUUUCUUGCAGUUCAGUGAUUAUGGUGUUGAAGGAAGCAUCCUGCUGCUUCAGAUCUGCUUUGAACACCUUAACCUCUACCGAACUGAUCUGCAGAACGUCCAUCUUGAACAAGUUCUCGAGUCCAUUUUCAAGUUUCUGAUGAGCAAACCAAAUUUCUCAACAGUGUUCUGUCAGUCUCUGGGUAGUGUAGAAAUUAGUGAACAAGUGCUGGAGAAAUUGUCUAGUAGUUUGCACUUAACUGAACAGGAAAAGAUUGGAGUGGGCCUCGCUUUGUCUGAUUCUGAUAUUCUUGACACUAGGAUGUAUGGUGCGUAAGCUUUGAAGUGGCAUUUAUAUAAUUGUUUUCUGUUUGUUUACAAAUUUAUGUCUGUUAGCUUUUGCUGCAUGACUUGUAAUGUCUUUGUUUUGCAGCAAAAAACUUCUGCAUGUCUCUGAUUCAGGAAUUGUCCGCCAAUCCUGUUUCUAUAACCUCUACGGAGCAGAUUCAGAAUAUUGUUAUGUUCCUCCAGCGAUCUGAGGGCUUCUCGAAGCAUGUUGAUGAAUUUAUGAAGAUGUUAUCACUGACUCGAUCAAAAGAUGUUAUACCAUUUGUGUUAACUCCAUUGCUUUCAGAAGAGUUGCGUGAGAAAAACUUUCUAAGGUACUUUUCCCAUCUUUGUUUCAGUGUUGUUAUAUUGUAGCCUGUGGCUAUUCUCAUGAUGUGCUGAGUUAGUUUAAUCUUAGCUAGUGUUUCUUGUAUUUUCUUCAGAACCAUUGAUUGGUUAUAUGAAAGCGAAGAAAGUGAAUUUGAUGCAAUUUUAGCUGACAUGGAGAAGGAGAUGAGUGUGGGAGAUAUCGUGGAGGAAUUAGGAUAUGGAUGCACAUUGGAUGCCUCACAUUGCAAAGAGAUAUUAACUCUUCUCCAGCCACUUACUGAGAUUACCAUCUCUAGGAUUCUUGGUGCAAUUGUUCACAGUCAGACUGGUCUGGAGGAUAACCAGAGUACGUUUUCGACCUUCAGUACUGCUCUUGGUUAUAGUUUUCCCGAUGAUCUACCAACUGUUAGCUCUUGGGAUGUUGAGGUCCUUGUAAGAACGAUCAAGCAACUUGUGAGUUCCCAUUUACUCUUGUGAUCUUCAUUUGCUGCAAACUAUAGGACAUUCUAAGUCAGCUGGGAACUUUCUAUACAGGCACCAGAUACCAACUGGAUUAAAGUCAUUGAAGGCCUGGAUCACGAGGGAUUUUAUGUUCCUAAUGAGGAGGCCUUUUCUUUUCUUAUGUCCAUCUAUGGCUGUGCAUGCCAGGUAUAUGCCAGUGUUGGAUAUUUUGUAUUUAUAGUCCAUCUCACAAACUCAUGCCUGGUGUGGUCUCACUCUCAUCAACUGUUUGGCAUAGGAUCCUUUCCCUCUUCAUGCUAUCUGCAGGGCUCCUUGGAAGAACACUGAGGGACAGCUAUCCAUUCUUAGAUAUGCAGUGUUGGCACCCCCUGAAGUGUUAUCCUUUGCUCACUCUGGGAGACAGCUGGUUGGAGAUCUCUGCUUGCCACUUUCCGCUUUCAUUCAUAAUUAACUGGCUGAAUGAUCUCACAGUGUUACUUUUUUUUUAUCAACUACUAUGGCAGGCUUUCAUGGAUGCAGUUAAUGGACACAAGCUUCAAGCUGGAUGUGCAAAUCAUGCAUGGUUGUGUAUUGACCUUGUGGGCGUUCUUUGUCAGUUAGCUGAGAAGGGUCAUGCUAACUAUGUGCGAGCUAUGCUGGAAUAUCCACUAAAACAUUGCCCACAGAUCUUACUACUAGCGAUGUCGCAUGUAAUUGUGAGUUGCUUCACUAACUUCAUACCCUCUUCUUUUACUUCUGGUAAUUUUCCUUUUGGGUGAUAGGGGUUUUCUUGGUAUGCAGACGGCCUAUAACCUGCUGCAGUAUGAGGUGUUGUUUAAGGUUUUCCAUAUACUCAUCAAAAGCUCCAAUGGUCCUGACAUGAUCAUGUACCUCUGGCAUGUAAAUCCUGGCCUUGUUGUUAGGGGGUUUGUGGACGUUCAAAAUAUUGAUCCAGAUAUCAUGGCCAAAAUUGUAGACGUUUGCCAGGAACUGAAGGUGAAUGUUUCCUUUACUUUGCAUCUUUAUUUCUAUAGCUGUUUGAUUACUUCCACUUUUGGUUAGCGGACUUGACUUCUGAUCAGUUAAAUUUGUAGAAAUUUUUUCUUGACAAGUGACUUAUUUUUGGUGACGUCUGCACAUUCUUUUUUGGGGGAUGGAUGCCUUCGACACAGUGUUUUGAUUUCUUUGAUUACUAUUUUGAACUGGUAGCUAUUUUUUUGGUUUAUUUUUUCUAUAUUUUGAUAUUUAUUUGUGUUUUUGUCCAAUUUGUAGAUUCUGUCUUCAGUCUUGGAGUUGAUUCCUUUCCGUGUUGGCAUAAGACUAGCUGCCCUAGCUUCACGGAAAGAAUUUUUGGACCUGGAGAAAUGGUUGACUAAUAAUAUAGUAACAUUUAAGGAUUCAUUUUUUGAGGUAAGUAGUUCAUUUGGCAUUUACCUAUGGUUGACCGGAAAUCUUGUCACAUUCAAUGACUUGGUCACAAGAUGGACUAUUGCUUUUGUUCUAAUUUAUACUCUAUGGUGCAAUUCAGGAGUGCCUCAAGUUUUUGAAGGAAUCUCAGCUUGGUGGAUCACAAGAUUUUUCGGGGAAACCUUUUCACCAUGGGAAUGCUGCUGGGAACUUUAACGUUAAUACAUGUUCAACCAUAUUGAAGGUUCUUAAGGCUCAUAGCCUCCUAGUUGCUGAUAUAAAACUUUCUGAGGAAAUGGAGAGGUUGUUAGCGACAACUUUGGAUUCAAAUCCUAGGCUUCAGAAUGGUGCCCCUGCUGAUUCAUCUCCCCCUGAUGGCUAUUCGGAUGAUGUCGAGGCGGAGGCAAACUCUUAUUUUCAUGAAAUGUUCUCUGGACAGUUGACAAUAGAUGAAAUGGUUCAAAUGCUUGCUGGAUUCAAGGAAUCUUCUGUAGCUAGGUAUAGUGUUCUGUUGCCUUCUGUUAAAUGACUCCCUAUUGGUAGUGCAAGAUGGGUUUCUAUUCUUCAACCUCAUCUGAUAAUAUUAUUGGCCUUUCUGUAGGGUAAGGCAGAUGGCUCUUUUGGGAGUUAUUAUGUUUCAUUUGGAUCUCUUUAAACUUAAAUAGAAGAGAUUAUAUUGUCGGUAGGCUAAUAGCCUCUCUGAGCUGAAGGGUAAAAAUUUCCGAAUGUAGUUUCAGUGAAGAGAAAGAAAGUAGAAUUAUGUCAGAUUUUAAUUGACAAUUACCUGUAUCCAGUAAAUUAAAAAGGAAGAUUCAUUGUUUGCUUGUACAUUUGUAAUCUUUGUUGCCCCCUUUUGUACAUUGGCUAUGAUUGUGGUGAGUUGUGUUCGUAUUGAAGUGCAUGAAGUGUGUGCACUAUUUAAGAAUCUCCAUAUAUUUUGGUAUUGAAAGGUUGUGAGUAAUAUCAUGGAUUUAUUAUAAUUGUCAUUGUAAUUUAUUCUUACACAACUAUCAACAGGGAACGCUCUAUUUUCGACUGCAUGAUUAGCAAUCUAUUUGAGGAAUACAAGUUCUUUCCCAAGUAUCCAGAGCGACAGCUUAAAAUUGCAGCUGUACUUUUUGGUGAGUUUUUAUACAUUUUGUGUUAGGAGAGCUUUGUUUUCCUCUGUUUCUUUUCUAAGUGCAGCCCCAAGCAUGUCCUCUUGUUUUUGUCUUCUUGUUAUCUGAGACAUCCCCUUUACGUCUUUAUACUUGCCUUGCUAUUGAUAACUUCUUAACUUCCUUAAAUAUGGUGUCCGGAAACAUUUGAACUGUAGGCUUGGGUGAUUGCAUUUUCCCCAACUGGUCGGAAAUUACCUGAGCUCUUAUAAAUAUCUAAUAGCGGUGCCCUUUCUAUGUUGUUUUCUUUUUGAGUCGAUACUGUUGAUUGUUUCUAGUGGAUCGUUUUAUUUCUUGUUUGUCUGAUUUCAGGUUCGGUUAUCAAUCACCAACUGGUAACACAUUUAACACUUGGGAUUGCGUUACGUGGUGUCCUAGAUGCACUACGCAAGCCUCCAGAUUCAAAAGUAUGUAUCAUCCUUGCUAGCCAUUUCUUACAUCUCGGUUGUGUAGUCUGGAUGAUCAAACCUGCUACCUGCAGAUGUUUGUGUUUGGUACCAAGGCGCUGGAACAGUUUGUGGACCGUCUGAUUGAAUGGCCACAGUAUUGCAAUCAUAUAUUGCAAAUAUCUCAUCUUCGUGGCGCUCAUUCUGAGCUCUUUGCUUUCAUUGAACGGGCGCUAGCCAGAAUUUCAUCUGGGCAUUUGGAGACGGAAGGUGGCAAUGCCUUUGCCAGUCACCAACAUGCUUUGCCCCAAGCUGUAUCAGGAAACGUUGAGGUACGAAGUUCUCUCAUUUUCUCUUUCUUGAGUUAAAUUGCGUGAGUUUCCAAUGGUUCUUCAUAAAUAGUUCAUCUAUUUUCCAUGUGCUUUGGCACAGAGGUGCUCAUCUCCUUGCUACGAUUAGCUUGUAGCAGAGCUCUUUAAUGUGCUUUGAUAGUUAGUUUUAAAGAUUUCAUUAUGAAAAUGGUCUGAGAAUGUUUUAAAUCUAUAAACAUGUUAGUGAUCGUGAUCUUUGCUCCGUCUUCUCCUAUCUGUAUUUGCAGUUAAGUGCUAUUAACAUAACAACUUCUGUGCAGCAACCGUCAUCUAUCACCAACAUCCAACAGAGAGUUGAAGUACCCCUUGAUGACCGCCAUAAGCUGUCUGUAGCUCCAUCUAAUGACUCUAAACUGCCUUCCCUAGCUGACCCGUCUACCAUUCAGAGAGUAUGUGUUGCAAAUGGUUGCUUGUGAAGUGUCAUUGUUGUUCUAGUUUCUAAAUUGCUUUUUAACUUUAUGUAUUUUUUCAGAGCGUUUCUAACACCCAGAUUACACAGUCUUCUUCGCCUGGUUACUUGGGGCCAACUCGCAGUGUUACCUCUACCAGUAUCUUUCUAAUCAAUCUUAAUUUCUCUUCAAUGCUAUUUCUCAAGGUUAAUUUUUUUUCAGUAUGUAUUUUUGUAUUGCGGCUUACAGCCUUCCAUCAAUGUAGGGUUUGGCUCAGCACUGAACAUUGAAACACUUGUAGCAGCUGCAGAGAGAAGAGAGAUACAAAUUGAGGUACAAUAUUGAUUUGUCCACUUCCAAAGCAUAAUGAAGCUUGCAUUUCAGAGAACAUAAUCUAGAACGUGCUUAUUAUUUUCAUAUUGUGAAGUCCAAGGUUGCAUUUGGACAUCCAGUUAGGUUCGAUUAGUUUCUCUUUCGUUUAUGUUCUUGGGCAGACGCGGUUGUCAUAUUUUUGGAGAAUGUCAAUAGUUGAUAUUAAGAAUGUUCAUCAAAGAAAUAAUAUACAUGUACUUGUUAAUAUAUUUAUCUUUCUCUGCUCUUCAUUCUCUUAUGCUUCUGGAACUUAUAUGCUUCCUUUUGCAGGCUCCUGCUUCUGAAAUUCAAGACAAAAUAUCGUUCAUUAUUAACAAUAUCUCUACUGCCAAUAUUGAGGCAAAAUCUAGAGAAUUCAGUGAAAUACUGAUUGAACAUUUUUAUCCCUGGUUUGCUCAAUAUAUGGUCAUGAAAAGGUUAGUAUUUUAUGUCAUACGAUACAUGUAGUAUGCUUUUGCUCACCUGUUUUUCAGUUAAGUAUGACUUGUGAAUUCAUCUUUGUAUUCACUCUUACUUUGUUUUCAUCUGGACAGAGCUAGCAUUGAGCCAAAUUUCCAUGACUUGUACUUGAAGUUUCUAGACAGAAUUAAUUUAAAGGCUCUGAAUAAGGAGAUUGUUCAAGCCACAUAUGAAAAUUGCAAGGUUAAUCUCAUCUUAAUUACUAUGAUCUUUUGAUUUAGUAGUGUAAAUAAUUUCUAUAUUAAUUUACAGGUUCUGUUAGGAUCAGAACUUAUAAAAUCAAGUUCAGAAGAGCGUUCACUGCUAAAGAAUUUGGGAAGCUGGCUUGGAAAAUUAACUAUUGGCAGAAACCAGGUUCUAAGGGCGCGUGAGAUAGAUCCUAAAUCAUUGAUCAUAGAGGUAGCUCCUUGGUCAAAUGUACACAUGCAUACUUCGAUUUGUUUUUGGUGUGGUUGUCUGUCUCACCUAUGUCUUUUGGGCUCAUAUUUUGUCGUCCUUUUCAUGGACAGGCAUAUGAGAAAGGGUUAAUGAUUGCUGUUAUUCCAUUCACAUCAAAGGUACACUCUUGCUAGUUAUACUCGUAUAUGCUCUUGAAUAUUAUGAUUCUGAUGUCUAUAUCUAAAUUAUCUCAAUUGGUCUUAGGUUCUUGAACCAUGCCAAAGCAGUCUUGCAUAUCAACCACCCAAUCCAUGGACAAUGGGAAUCCUGGGCUUGCUUGCUGAGAUUUACUCAAUGCCCAACUUAAAAAUGAACCUGAAAUUUGACAUAGAGGUAAUUUAACCUUGAAUUUUUGUUCCUUCUGAUAGUAGGUUAUUCUUUGCUGCUAGUUACUUACUUUUUGGACACUUCAGGUCCUAUUUAUUAAUCUCGGUGUAGAUAUGAAGGAUAUUACGCCGACUUCACUUCUCAAAGAUAGGAAACGAGAGAUUGAAGGCAAUCCUGACUUUUCUAAUAAAGAUGUUGGACCAUCCCAAUCACAAGCUAUCCCAGAGAUAAAGUCAGGAAUGAAAUCUCCAAUGAAUCCUGGGGAGCUACCAGUUGAGGUUGUUAGCCCUCCUCAUACGGUGGGCCAUACACCCCUGCUCUCUCAGGUUGGUUUUGUGUAGUUGCUCUUGUAGAUCUCUGAAUUUCAUUCCCGUUAUUCUUAAUGAUUUUUUUGGGUGCUCUUAGUAUGUUGCUCCUGUCCAUCCUUCUCCUACCACAAUAGUGGAGGAUGAAAACCUAGCUGUGUUGAGUUUGCCUGACCAACUUCCUUCCGUACGAGCACUAUUCCAAGCUACUCCUACACAAUCUCCCUUUACUGUUAAUCAGGUCUGUUAAUGGUUCUGCUACUCCCUUCAAUAAAAAGUGUACUAGGGUUUAGAAUAUUCUCAUCAACAAAAUCUUCUACCGUUUGCAGUUCCCUGCAGUUUCAAUGGCUAAUAUUGCUCCUCAUGUUGUCAUUAACCAGAAGCUUCAGGGUUGGGGUUUGAAUUUUCAAAGGUUUGAGAAUGUUACGUUUUAAUUUUAUGCUUUUUCAUGCUUUGUGUUUGUAAAUCCUGUUAAAUGUAUCAUAUGUUGAAUUUGUAUCUGAUUCAUAUGUGAAGGAUGGUUCCUAUUGUCAUUGAAAGAGCUGUCAAGGAAAUCGUAUCAGGUAUUGUUCAGCGCAGUGUUUCUAUUGCUACCCAGACAACAAAGGAGCUUGUUUUAAAGGUACCUGAUACUUUGUAGUGUGGGUCUUUCUAUCUGCUCCUGAUAUCUUUCUAGCACCUUAUUGCUGCCAAAUCAUUUCUAGUUGUGGUUUUAACUUGCAUUGUUCUUUCAAUGAUUUAUUGGGCUAAUGGAUAGGAUUACGCCAUGGAAACCGAUCAGACUCGCAUACUGAAUGCAGCAAACCUUAUGGUUGCUAGCUUGGCUGGAAGCUUAGCUCACGUCACCUGCAAGGUUUUAGCCUUUCUUAGCCUAUAUUACCAUUAAUUGUUGGGUUGUUUACUCUGUUGAUAUUUUAAAUGCUGAAAGUUAACCAAAUCAUAUACUAAUUUUCAUCAUAGGAACCUCUACGUAGUUCAAUAUCAACCCAUAUGCGGAGUUCCCUUCACGGUUUGAAUACCACAAGUGAGCUUCUUGAACAUGCCGUGCAGCUUGCCACCAAUGAUAACCUUGAUUUGGGAUGUGCGCUGAUUGAACAAGCUGCAACAGACAAGGUCUUAGUUCGAGCUUUAAUUGCUCCUUCCGUCUUUUUAUAUUGGUGUUAUGUCUUGUGAACCCUUUUCUGCAUCUUGUUCGCUCAUAUACUUGACAUAGAUCAUUAUAAAGUCAAUUUGACAUAUGAGAUCGCUUUUGCAGUUGCCACAUCAGCUUUUUAAAGAUUUUAGAGCCUCCCUGUAAUUUGAGGGUUUCACCGAUUAUUGUUUUAGAGAAUUUUUUGCGUUAAUAUUAAAUGAGCUAAUAAAAAAUUAAUUAUAACAAUACUAUCGGGCCAAUGGGCCAGCCAAAAUCUAGUAUAUAUGCGUGCAUCAAUUGCUUGUUGAGAACAAUAUUGGUUAUAGCUACUCUGGUAGUUUUUAGCAAGUUGGUCUGGUGUGCUUAAAAUGAGCUUGGUAAUGUGCUGAUUGAGAUUUUAUUCCUUACUGACAUAAAUAAUUGUUCCUGUUUCUAUAUUCUGACCAUUGAAGUAGACUACUCUAAUGCCUAACCUUCUUUUUUAUAUACUGUGAAGGCAAUACUAACUAUCAACGGUGAAAUAACCCACCAGCUAUCAUUGAGAAGGAAACAUAGAGACAGUGUUGGCCAAACAUUAUUUGAGACAAACAUGUAUGCCCAGUUUUCCAAGGGCGUGGUACCUGAGGCUCUCCGCCCCAAGCCUGGGCAUUUGUCAUUGUCUCAGCAGCGAGUUUACGAGGUAGUCUUUUUUCUGUAAUUUACCCGCGGUCUAUUUGACACUCGUUUAUCUUUGGAUUUUAGUUAAUACGGGUGAUAAAGGGUAAUUUUUUUAACUUCUUUCUUCUUUGUCUGCUCCAUUCAGGACUUUGUUCGGCUUCCAUGGCAAAGUCAAUCUACCCAGGGCGUGCAGUCUAUUGCUACUGGCAGUUCAAUGUCUGGACAGCUCAGUUCAGGGUUUUCUACUGGGGUAGUAGGUUUUGGAUUCGAGACAACUCAGGCAUUGGAUAUGGGUUCUGAGGCAAUUGAUCCAAAUCCAACGGCACUUCCAAGGUCUGUUGUUUAUAUCAUAUGGUUGGUUUUGUACAUAUCAAUUGUCAUUCAGAAAUGUGAAACUGAUUUUUGUUUUGUUUCCGUGGCUGGUGGUUCAGUUCUUCUUCAAUAAAUACUGGAGCAGAUGCUACCAUGCUGCAAAGUUCUGAAAAGAAUGCCAAUGCUAUGACAUUGAUGGCUGUACCAGCUACGACUGAAUCUGAGCUGGUAGAUUCUUCUGACGGUGUGAAGGUUAGACAAACACCAGUUUUUGUAUGUUUCUAUAUUUUUUAUGUGGUGCAUGUUUUGGCUUCGUUAUUAACACAUAUCUAUAUUAAUAAAGGAAUCUGGAUCUUCCUCUCAGCCAAUGUCAACAUCCAUUGCUUCUGAACGAGUUGGGACUAGUGUAUCUGAACCUUCACUGAGCACAAGGGAUGCACUGGAUAAGUACCAAGUCAUCGCUCAAAAGGUUUUCAAUCCUCGAGUGCUUUAUUUUUGUUAUCAUUGUAGUAAACUCUGAUGCAAUACUUAAGAGGAUGAAAUCAGAUGUUGUGACUCUGUGAUCGGGUUAUCUUUGCAAUCAUGCCGCUAACAAUCUUGUUCAUCAGAGGACUUAAAUUUUUAUGCACUCAUCCUCGUUUUGAAUUGUUUUUAGAUGGAGGCUUUGGUCACGAGUGAUGGUAGAGAAGCAGAGUUACAGGUUCUGUCCAUUUCUCCCGGCACUGCAUUGUUUUGAUAAACCAGCCUUCAAAACUUUCUUUCUCAUUUAGUAAUGUUCGACGAAAGUUGAUGCUUGACCUCUCAUUGUGUUUGUCUCCAUAUGCUCAGGGAGUGAUUACUGAGGUACCCGAGAUCAUACUCCGCUGUAUCAGUCGUGAUGAGGCUGCCCUAGCUGUUGCUCAAAAGGUCAUAUGGGUUGAUCUUUAGAUUUUUUUCGUGGCAGUGGCUCAUCUUUUGUUGUAAUUUUUUCACAAAAGCACAAGAAUGACAAGCUGUAUUCCUGAUGUUUAUGCAUUUGGUUAUGUUUUAUUUUUCAUGCAGGUUUUCAAGGGCUUGUAUGAGAAUGCUUCUAAAACUUAUUAUGUUAGUGCCUGUCUUGCAAUUUUGGCUGCAAUCCGAGAUGUUUGCAAGCUUGUAGUUAAAGAACUUACUAGCUGGGUAUGUCCAUUGGUCCUUUUCAUUGAUGUACAUGCAGUGGUUUAAGGCCGAGUUUUUAUGGAGAAAUGUGUUUGGUUAAUGAGGUUUUUAUAAUUGUCACAAUGAAGAUGUAACCUGUUUUAGCCAUGUCAGAUGUUCUCAAUAUCUUAUUGUUGUCCUUUCUUUCACCAUUCUUCCUCUACAAAUGAUUAUAUUAUAUCGUAAUUCCUCAGGUCAUUUACUCGGAUGAGGAGCGAAAAUUCAAUAAAGAUAUCACUAUGGGUCUUAUACGCAGUGAAUUGCUCAAUCUUGCAGAGUACAAUGUUCAUAUGGCAAAACUCAUCGAUGGUGGAAGGAAUAGUAUGUUCCUGAUUACAAGUUGUAGUGUUAAUUUUUUUCAUGCUUUCAAGGAAUUGGUAGUGUUUUUGGGUUGAUCGUAAAAUUAACCAUUCACCUCGGGCUAUCAUUACCUAUUAUUUUAACUACAUUUUUAUUGCAGAAGCUGCGACUGAGUUUUCUGUUUCACUUAUCCAAGCUUUGGUUGUUGAAGAAUACAAUAUCAUCUCUGAACUUCAUAAUCUUGUUGAUGCAUUGGCAAAGGUUUGUCUAUUUCCCUGCUAGAUUCUUUGUUGUCAUAUAUGGCUUCUUAAUGAUUUUGACUUACAGCUUGCUUCGAAAUCUGGAUCCCCCGAGUCAUUGCAACAACUGAUGGAGAUUGUGAAGAACCCUACCGCUAAUGGAGCUGCUAUAUCAGCUUCUUCUGUUGGAAAAGAUGAUAAAACAAGACAGAAAAUGGUUAGUGUUGACUUUGGUAAGUUUAUGCUACUCAUCGCAUUGGAACUACUUAAAGUGUUAUCUUCUGUUUCUGUCAGGUUACCAAUCUGUCUUCGGUUACCCGGGAAGACUUCAGCGUUAUGGAUUCUGUAGAACCUGACCCUGCAGGAUUCAGGGAUCAGGUACGUUUGAACAUAGGUGUCCUUGAUGAAUGAACCAUGUGGUUUCCAAUUUGUAACCAAUGUACUUUAGGCAUAGUUCGAACUGUGGUGCCACUUCAAAGAUUCUUACGUGACUGGUACUUAAUAUAGGUUACUGUUCAAUUCCGCGAAUGGUACCAGAUAUGUGAACUACCUGGCUCAAAUGAUUCUGCAUAUACCCAUUACCUCUUGCAACUGCGUCAGAAUGGCUUUCUCAAGGGUGAUGAGAUGACUGACCGAUUUUUCCGCGUUCUCAUGGUGAAUGUCUUUUUUCAAUUUGUUUUCAAUUCCAUACUUUGUAGCCACGUUUACGAUUGCAAGCUUAUUUCAUUGUGUAUGUCACUAGGAACUCUCUGUUGACCACUGUCUGUCUUCUGAGGUGCCUCAACAAGGGCAGAGUAUGUCGUUUCUUGCCAUUGAUAUAUUUGCAAAACUCCUCUGCGCAAUUCUAAAGGUAACCGUUUGUGUCUGGUUGGGUGCGCUUCUGUUUUCUCUAUCUCUUUUAUAUUUUUUGAAGGAGUUGCUAAUGUUGGCAGGUUGAGCAGGGAUCUACUAAACAGUUCCUUCUGUCAAAGGUAAGUAGGGUGGAUAAUUUUUCUUGUUUUCUUUGCUUCAAAUUCAUUAUCCUUCUUACACAUUGUGUUUGCAGAUGCUGGCUGUCACUGUAAAAUAUAUACAAAAAGACUCCGGGGACAAGAAACUUGCUUUUAUUCCAAGGCCGUAUUUCAGAUUGUUUAUAAACUUGAUGCAAGACCUUGUUUUACAAGAAUCUGGAAAUGAGGGGGCCAUUUUUCAGGUAUAUCCUUGCCUUUUCUCGUUGUUGUCCAUUGAGCUACUUAGUUUCCACGCUCUGCGAGUUAGACUGUUAUCUAACUAGAUGUUUGAUCCGUAUUAGAUUCUGACUUCAUUUGCUCAGGCGUUCCAUCUUUUGCAACCGCUUAAAGUUCCUGCGUUCAGGUAAGGGUUUCCAUUAAUUAACAUUCUAUAGGGAUAAUCAGUUCGAUCAAAUUAAUGAACAUUUCAUUUUAUAGGGUUUCCUGUUUGUGGGUCUGGAAAUGUUAGUUAUUAUUACUCCCUUAACGGAUAGAGUUGCUCUUUCUCUCCUUCUCGAGUUAAGUAGAGAUUCUUCAUUAAUAAUUUGUCAUUAUUUGAUUGUUACGAUACUCUUCUUGGAUCCAAAGCCCUAACUCGAAUGUUUGCUAUGUUUAUUGGACAGUUGUUUGGCUAUCACGUAGCUUCUGCGCUCACAUCAUCUUCUUUUUUCAUUACUUUGUUGAUUGUUGUUGUUCUGCUAACCUUGUUUAUGCUUCUACUCGAAUGUUGGCUAUGUUUAUUGGACAGUUGUUUGGCUAGCACGUAGCUUCUGCACCCACAUCAUCUUCUUUUCUCAUUACUUUGUUGAUUGUUGUUGUUCUGCUAACCUUGUUUAUGCUUCUACAGCUAUGCGUGGCUCGAGUUGGUAAGUCACAGGAGCUUCAUGCCGAAACUACUUACUGGGAAUGUGCAAAAGGGCUGGCCAUACGUUCAACGACUGCUAGUAGACCUGUUUCAGUUCCUUGAGCCCUUUCUAAGAAAUUCUGAUUUGCGAGGACCAGUAUGCUUCCUGAACCAGUUGCUUUAUUUUUUAUGGAUCUUAACUAAUUUCUUUUACUUGUAUGGUAAAAUCCCAAGGGAAAAUGGUUUCCCCUUACGCCCUUGUAUUUCCUGCAGGUCUCCUUCCUUUACAAAGGCACCCUCAGAGUGUUGCUGGUGCUGCUGCAUGAUUUCCCAGAGUUCUUGUGCGACUAUCAUUUCACCUUCUGUGACGUCAUACCCCCAAGUUGCAUACAAAUGCGCAAUAUUAUUUUGAGUGCGUUUCCCCGCAAUAUGAGGCUUCCAGAUCCAUCCACUCCAAAUUUAAAGGUUCUAUCCAACAGAAGCCAAUUUGAUUUGAUUAGCUUCUUUUUUACCCCUUUUGUUACUGAAUCUGAUCUAUCUGAUCUAUGUCCAAACCCUUUUCUGUUAACAGAUUGAUUUGCUUCCCGAAAUUAGAGAACCACCUCACAUUUUGUCAGAAGUUGAUGCACCUCUUAGAGCAAAAAGCAUGAAAGCCGACGUGGAUGAAUAUCUGAAGGUAAUUUGAUUUCUAGCAUAAGUCUGCUUUUAACUAUCUUAACUGCCUUUCCUUGGUUGAUGUCCCAUGAAACUUUUGCAGACGAGGCAGCAAGGUUCUUCCUUCCUCACUGACCUGAAACAAAGGCUGCUUCUUUUGCCAAGUGAGGCUUCAACAACCGGGACUCGUUACAACGUUUCACUAAUUAAUUCUCUGGUCCUUUACACUGGAAUGCAGGUAAAUUCCUUUUGGUCUUCAUUUUUUCCACAGAUUCUUUUGCUUUUCAAUGGCUAUUCAUUCUUUCAUUAUGCUUGCUUUUGCUGGUAUUUUAUUCUCAGGAAAUCCAACAGUUGCAGGCUAGAGCUGGAACUGGAAGUACGGGUCCUCUAGCUUUCUUGGUGGACGCUGCAUUAGAUGUUUACCAGACCCUAGUAGUUGAGCUAGACAACGAAGGCCGAUACCUUGUUCUGAAUGCUGUUGCGAACCAACUGCGCUAUCCGAACAAUCAUACACACUACUUCUCUUUUGUGCUGCUCUACUUAUUUGCCGAGUCGAACCAGGUUGAGAUUAUUAUGAUUUUUCUUGUCGUUUCAUUCAUUUUUUCCUUUGUUUCGUUCUCUUACUUGGUAAUUGAAAUGCAUAACAGGAAAUAAUCCAGGAGCAGAUUACCAGAGUGCUGUUGGAACGUCUGAUUGUUAACAGACCGCACCCAUGGGGCCUUUUGAUCACUUUCAUUGAGCUAAUCAAGGUAAGAUAAUAGUAAUAAUACUUUCGAUGUAAUUCAUGUUCAUGAUUUUGAAUCUAAACUUGAAAAUAAUAAUGAAUAUGUAGAAUCCGAGGUACAAUUUCUGGAACCGGUCAUUCAUAAGAUGUGCUCCGGAGAUAGAGAAGCUGUUUGAGUCGGUGGCGAGAUCUUGUGGUGGUUUGAAGCCAAUGGACGAGAGUAUGGUUUCUGGUUGGGUUUCCGAGGCCGCACAUUGAAGAUUCAACAAGCAAAUCACUCUUUAGGUUAUAACUAAUGAGCAUUUUAUGGAACCUGCUCAUGUUGUUGAAUACAAUAGUCCUAGCUUUGUAGAAUGUACGGAAACAAACCUUCUGUAAAAACUCUCUGUUAUUUAUGCUUUGCUCGAUUCCUUCUCUGUUCAUCUCAUGUAUGUAUGUCGAAAACUUCUGCCGAUGUGCCCCACCUCCAUUGCCGAUUUCUCCACCCUUACCCUCCUUGCUGCUUGCUACUGCAAACUUGCAUUGAUUAUCGCAGCUGAAGCCAAGUAGUGUAGCAAAAAUUUCAGUUUAGGGGUAUUUGAUCAAUCCAAUAACAUCCUGUUUAGUUGAUAAAACAUGGUACAUUUGCUAUAAUGUUGGACAUCUUUCGUCCCUCUUUGUCCCACUCUACAUGAAUGUGAUCUUCUUUUUCUUCCCAAUCGUCAGAUUUUCGGGCCAAUCUUCAUGAUCCGAUGCGCUCCUCCGCAUGUGCUGAUUAAGGGGGAGUAAUUCAUGUUCGGCAUGCACAUAAUUUAACCGUCACUAAAAUCGUCUCUAAUGUAUUGUCUUAAAUGGCAAAAGUAUCAAAUUACAAGGCCAACACCUCUCCAAUGCAUAAAGGCAAAGUUUCAAAUAACUAAAAUAUUAUGUUUUCAGUCUAAUAUGUUACUAAUUCUCGGAACAAAUGACCGAAUUUGACAUUUAUAAGACGAUAUAGAAAAAAGAGGGCAUAUAAAAUUGUAAGUUUGCGAUUAGAUUCACAGGGUUGCAUAUACUCCCUACGACGAAGGCUGUAUCUAAAUAUUUUCGUUAAAUUAAAUUAAAUCCCAAAUGCCAAGUGCUAUCUUUAUGGUCUUUCUUCCCCCCUCUGUUAGUUUGUUCUGAAGAUAAUGAUUGUUGACAAACUCAAGGUAGAAACUUGAGUCAUAGUAUGUUGAAAACCAUGGCAUCAAAAAUUUGACUUACUUACUUUUCAAGUCUUCAUUUAAUCGUUAAUCAAUGAUUAAAGUUUUGUGAAAGAAAUGAUAACUACUGCCCCUAAGACUUUCAAAGUCUUGUUAGGACAGAACUGAACACUUUGAAAUCAUAGGAUAAAAACAACACACAAUUCAAAGAAACUGGACGCCAGUCAUUUCCUUUCACUUCAAUUUCAUUUUAAUCAAUUCAUUAACCCUAUCAUAACCUAUCUCAAAUGUUUUCACACAACAAGUCAACGAGAUCGGAAUUCUUUGUAUGAAAGCCUACAUGAAAAGGGGUUAUAUCUUCCGUGAAGAAGUAGCUACUAGUGUCAACAAGAUUCGAUACGGAAACCUCAUAUAGAGCGACGGGUUUGAGCCCAAAUUAAGCACAGUAAAAGGAAACUGAGGUCAGUGUUCAUGGCACAUACAUAUAUUCACAUUAAAGGCAUCAUGUGAUACUUUUUAUAUUUCUCAAUUUCCUUAUAAACGUUUGGCUCUGUUCAUAAAUUCAUCUUAUUAUUAACACCCUUGUCCUCCCCACUUUGACGGAUCCCAAUGGUGUUUGCCAAAUAUAUGUAAACAGGUUGGUUCUCCAAAUCAAAGCAUUAUUGUCUCACCCAAGUCUACGAUUCUGUAGGGUUGAACACACGUAAUUUGAAGAUACAAACAUACGUUAUACAUCUAAAACUAGCCACUAAAUUCGGAAAUUCGAAUCACAAAGAAAAUCACAAAAGAAAAAAAAACAUGGGAUAUCAAGAUACAAUAAUGUUUUAGUUUGUUGUUAUUUUAGAUGAGACCUUAGUUUUGUUUGGUGUAGAAUUUUUACUGUGGAUCGAGUAAACUAAGUAGCCAAUUUGUUGUCUUAUACCUUAGCUAAAUACGCAUGUCCUUGUGGGUAAAAUUGGGGGCCAAGGGGACAGUGAUAGAAGGUCCCAUUUGUGGGUCGAUUGGAUCCCAUAAUUGAGGUAUUUAAUUAAUAAUUAUAUCAUCAAUUGGGAAGAAAGUUUCAACUGGUUACUUCACUGCAAAACGAUAAUCGACAAACUAAUUAGUAACUUAUAAACAGAUGUUUUAGGUAUGAAUUGAUUUUUUGACCUAUUUCAAACUUUAUUAUAAUAAGGUUUAAUUCAAGGUGGUUGGUGAUAUUUCGAGACUUUUUAAUCUAUUUUCCCAAUACCAUGACAAAAUUCAAAGGUAACACAAUCAGUAAUAUGAUGAUUUAAGGGAAUGAUAAAAUAUGUUGAGUCAUGUUGAACAUUUUGAUACUUGUCGGUAUCAGUAUUUUUUAUACUAAAACUUUUAUAUAUUUGAGAUUUAAAAUCAAACUAAUAAAUUUUAAACUCAUCGCAGUAGACUAUAAAUUCUAAAGAAUAUUGAUGUUAACCUCAUUAUUGCUAAAUCCUAUCAUUUAAACAUGACAUCAUAAACUCAAACUCUAAUUUAUAAUAUGAACUCUAUUUAUUUUAUCAUAAAUUAAAAUUAAUAAAACAUAAAAAUAAUUAACAUCAUAAUCUAAACUAUAAACACAAACUUACACCCUAUAAAUUCUUAUCUUUAAGUGCCAAGUAAAUAUAAAACAAACCGUAAUGAGAAAAGGAAAAAAUACUCAGAAUUUCAUUCCUCAUUUCACUUGCGAAAAAAUACUCAUAAUUCCAUUUCCGCGUUCCACCUACCAAACGGUUCAUAGUAUCACAACUACUUUGGUCGACGAGUCUUAAUGGGUUGACUUUUGACUAAUGAAACAUAAACAGAUAAUUUUACGUAAAUGCAUGUCCAACCACGUAAACGGUAUCAUAUAUGUGUGGCUGAACUUAAUGGUGUAGCCUAGAGUGUCCCAAAUGGUCCAUUUAAUUAAUUAGUCACGACCAUUUUCAUAAUUGUAAGUAAGUUUACAUUUGUAGUGACUUGUGUUUGUCCUCAUACGUCGAUAAUUGUUUGAUUUACUUGUCUCUGAAAUUAAAUAAUUGCCGACCCUACUUUACCCUUCUUGUGCCCACAUAUAUGCACAAACCGCGUAUUAAUUAAGCGUGACGUGCCACGAUAAAUCCUAUUAUUUUUCCAUUAUAAAAAAAAUUGGAUUUUUCAUAGUAUAAUAUAUAGUUAUCAUAUUUUCAUAUAUAACUUCCUGUCCAUAAGGUUACAUGAGUGGAAUAUGCACAUAAGCUACUAAUAAUCGGGCUACUCGAAAUAUCGAGCUAAGAUAAGAUAUGCAUAUUGGUGAAUCAAGGCAAUAAAAUCAAGUCGGAAUUUACCGUAUUCAAAUUUGUCUCGCAAACUAGUUUUGACGAGAAAAAAUUGAACUUCGGUCGUUGACACCCCCCUCAUGAGUCCAAUUUGAGAUGAAUACGAAGUUUUUACACUAAAAAUUAUCAAUAAAUCAAGCUGAAAAAUAAACUAUCCUAAAACUUACAAGUUUUUACUAACAUAAAAAAAUGUACCACUUGCAUUUUCAUUAGCACAGUCACAAAUUGCAUAUGAUUAUCUAGUCAUAUAUAUUUUUUUAUAAAUGCUAGUUAUAUAUGUUGCCUUACUUAGUCUGCUAAUAAGGGGCCAUAUACUCGAGUUGGCUUUUGCUCUUGAGCUCGAGUUUGGAUUUCUAGAUGUUUCCCUACUUGGUUUGAGUUUUAAAUCAACCUAGAUUUCACUUGUAAAUCAAUAUAUGUACAUUGGCCGAAUUAAAUUAAAAAUUCAUUUUUUUUGGAUUUGACAGGCGUGUGCUAUAACCCAUGGAAAUUGACAAAUUUUCAAAUCAGCUAAUAUCUGACAUGCAUGUUGGAAAUGACUAAAAAUCAAGUUUCACAAUGGUAACCUCUAUAAACAAUGAUCAAAUGAAGUUAAAAUUCAAUUUUUGUGUAUGGAUUAUGUUAGCGUUAAAAUUUUUUAAAUUUACUUUAUUUUCUACAUGCAUAUAGUAGAAAACAACUAUAAUCCAAGUUAAACUUUUCUAAACCGAAUGUCGAGCUGCAAGAGCGGCUUAGCUUGUCAACCGCACUUUAUACACAUGUUAUGCUAGCUAAUAUGAGAUUGAUUGGAAUGAGAGAAUGGGAAGGAGGAAGAAUGUAAUUAAGUAUGUAGGAUUUGAUGGGUAAAGACAAAAGGUAGCUAGUUAGAUGAUUUCAUGGCUUCAAGGAUAUAUACCAUCACUUCUGAAAGGGAUGUUAUUAAGGGCUGAGAUGGCGUGAGAGAGAAGGAAUCCUUAUAACGACAGUGUGUGAAUAUAUACCUUGAAAUAAUAAUAAUAAUAAUAUAAAAUGGGUAUUUAAUUUGUCCUUUUUAUUCAACACUAUAUUAUAUAUUGUGAUUCUAAGACAAUGAAAUGACCAAAAGAACCUUCCAAGUUCCAAUAGCUGCUCCAUCUUGGAAUCAACCAACGGAAUCUCUUCCCCUCAUUGGGGCCUAUGAACCUAGCCACUUCACACUUAAUUAAGAUUUUGUAAAUUUCGAAUGUCAGAAUAUUGACACGUUGGAUUGGGAGUUUUUCGUAUAAAAGAAGAAAUUUUGUAAAUUUCUAUCGUUAGUUAGAUGUAUCUGGAGAAGUCCUUAUGACACUCAUGUAGGUAUUAUUACUUGGUAGGAGGGUUGGAGAUUCAUUUUGUGUCUGAUUUUAGAGUCAGUUAAUAUAAAUUUUGAUUUUGACCUGAGUUAGUAAUCCAUCUCACCAAGCAUUAAAAUGCGUUCAUCUUACUGGCAUGGUAAAGGGGCGCCAGACUGCCUCGAGGCCUAGUGAGCGCCGUUGGCGGAGUCAGAAAAUUGACCAAAAGGGUUCUAAAUUCGUACAUAACAACAUGUAGUGGGAAACCGCUAGAAAUCCAAUCUACGAUUUUUGUAAUCGAAAGCACAUACAUCCCAACUACCAACAACAAUCAAAACCCUUAAAAUUAAUGUAUUUUAAUUUCAUUUGUCUAUUAUUUGAAAGGGUUAACAUGGUAAAACCUCAAUUCUUAGCCAUCCCCAAUAUUAUUGGGUAUGUAAAAUAUUAGCCAAUUUGAAAAUUUUCAUGUCAAAAUUAGUUAAUUUUCAAAGGAACACCUACGGAAAUGAGCCAUUUUACCAUAAAAAUUUCAAAAUUUUCAAAUUAAUUAAUAUUUGUUGGAAAUAAUUAAAAGUUCAAGUUUUACUAUAAUAACCCCGAUAAAUAAUAUCCAAAUAAAAUUAAAACAUGACAUAAUAAGUAAUCAAUUACUUAAUAUAAUACAAUAUCGUUUUAUAAAUAAAAAAUAACGUAAACAUCUGAUUGGAUUGGCUUUUACGUAGGAAAUAAAGUUUGCCAAAAAUAAAUGGACCCAUUUCUAUGGACAAAAUGAAUAUGAAUUAUUUUUUUCAAAGCGUGGGCCGUCCUUUUAUGUGUGGUGUUGUAUUAUUGAGCACAAUUGUGCCAAAUUGCAUUAUCUCCUCCUCCCCACAGAAGUUGGAAUAAAGAAAAAGAAAAACGAAUUUAUUAACCACUUUCUUUCUCCAAGUAUCAUAACUUGAUACACACACGAAAAAUCAUACAACGAGGCGCUAAGGUAGUAUCGAAGAUCUGGACUACGAUCACUGUUGACGAGAUAAUAAACGGCUCAAUCAUCGCGUCGAGGGGCAAAAGGGUUGGGACUGAGAAGACGUCGAAGUUCUUAGGGCAGUUGCCCAACACAAAUAUAAGACACGGUGGAGUUAAGUAAUCUUGUCACCUCAAAAGGCCGGUUAAACAUCUAUAAAUGUUAGAAUUUUAGAUUUUAUAUGAAUAAUCACUUGUUUGUAGUGAUUAUUUAAAUACGGAAUCUUAUAUUUCAAUUUUUGCGGAUCAGUAGAAUUGAUGGAGGCUUCUUCUAAGUUCUAAUACAAACAACUAGCCGCCGUUUAUGAAUAUUGUUACAUCCUAAGUUAGGAUUUCUUUUAUUUAUGAAUGGUUAUAGGUAAGAAGUUCGUUUUUAAAAAUAUUUCAAAUUAAUGGGAUGUAAAAAUAUGUUCAGGAUUGUCGGUCGAUCCCGUAUUCUUCUUCUUUUCACCACCCAUUUUUCAUGUGUCCCUCGUCAUGAAAAUAGACCUGCCCAUUUUGUGACUCAUGAGGCUGUGAAUUUUCUUGAUAACUCUGAUAAAUGUUAUAUUUUUAUUAGCCAUGUUACGUAUAUAUGGUUUGCAUGAUGGAAAUAUUUUAUGCUGCAAUUCCAACUUCCAAAGAUGUAAAGAAGCCAGAGCCAGUCCAGGUUGAUAUCAUCACUGUCAAACCAUUAUUACUACAAACCACCAUAAAAAUAUUAAUAAACCCUACGAUCUUCUGUUCUCUGUAUGAACUGCAGUACGAUCGUCAUCCUCAUGAAACAAAACUCAGAAUCCAACCAAUCACAGAAGGCUGGAAAGAAAAUGAUGAUAAUAAUAAUAAAGCCUGCAGAAGUAUAUAUAGGGGUUGGACCAAUCUAAUAAUCUGGGAACCCUACAAACAACAGAAGGCAAAGAUAAUUAUUUAGAAAAAGAAAAGUAAAAAUAAAAAAAAAGACAUAAAAGAAGAAAUUUGUAGCAGUGCUUACUCAGAGCUCCACAGUUUUUGCAGUUUCUACCACCCACCUUUCUUGGGUGCACCAUUAUUAAUUUUUAUUUCUCAAAUAAUAAAUAAUGUUUAAAAACAACAUUCAAACAUGUUGGUUCACUUUCUAACACAUAAAUCAUCUUAUUUUUUAGUGAUUGGAAUGUUUUGAAUUUUUUAGGAUUUUAUUUUAAACUCAUAUAUUAUCUUUUAUGGGUUUUUUGAUAUUUUUAAUUCUUUAAUUUACAUGACUUAAAUGUCUUGUGGUUUUAUUUUGUUUAUACAUUUCCUAUAACAAAUAUUUUUAUCUAUCUCCAUCUAUUCUCUAAAACUUUCUGUAAUAUCGUAGGGAAUUUUUUUAUUUGUUAAUAGUAAAAAGGAGUCAUGUUUUAAAANNNNNNNNNNNNNNNNNNNNNNNNNNNNNNNNNNNNNNNNNNNNNNNNNNNNNNNNNNNNNNNNNNNNNNNNNNNNNNNNNNNNNNNNNNNNNNNNNNNNNNNNNNNNNNNNNNNNNNNNNNNNNNNNNNNNNNNNNNNNNNNNNNNUCGUUUAUUUUUCUAUAUACAGUUGAUAAUAGAAGGUGAUACUAAAUUGGUCUUAUACAGUUGACUCAGACUUCAUGCUAUUUAGGUGUCAUCGAUCCACUAUAAUGUGCGUGUAAAAGAUUUUGGAUUUAUUUUUAACCCUUACGAAAUUGUUCGUCAUGUUAAAAACUGAACCGUAGAUUUGAAUGUUCGAAUCGACGAACACUGACCCUUGAGAAAAACAAGUUACACAACCUAUAUAUUAAUUGACUAGAGGUGAGUCGGGUGCUUGGUAUGAUUAAUGUAUACGUCAAUUACCACAAUAAAUAUUGAGAAAAAAUGUGUAGAGAAAUGGGAAUUUGGACCACCUCAUCUCUUUGUCUGUAUGAAAUAUAUAUUUUCAUUUUGGGCUAAUUAUAUUGUACACCAAUAAAUCACUCUACCCCCCCCUACCNNNNNNNNNNNNNNNNNNNNNNNNNNNUUUUUUUCUUUUAUUUCCAGUUAUUCCAAUCAUAUCAAUUUGUUUUCUUUUGUUCUGAGCAAGAAGCCACAGGGGUAGCAGACACAGAAAAAACAGAGAGUUCGAUGAUCUCUGCAGAUUUUUCAUCGAUUCCCAUAACUCACAGAAGAAGAAAAGAUAGCUUUUACCUGCAACAAAUUCCUCUUUUGGAAUCUCAGAUCAUCAUCUCUCUGUAAUUUCACAUUUAUUAUUACCUCUGUCUCUGUUUUUACUUUUUAGAUUUCACUUUUGUUGGGUUCUUAUUAAAGUUUAAUACUUUAAUUUGCUCUGUCUGUGUGUUCUUGAUCUUAUGGCGGCUUAUCAUUGUAUUAGUACUGUUGUUGUAGGAUUAGUUUAUACAUGAGUUGUUUAGAAUCUAUGAAUUGGUAUUGUGUGUAUAUUCCUAAUCAUAGAUUUCAUCGAGUUUGAUAAACAUAGGAAACAGAAACAACCAAUCUUCUAGAUCAAUCAUUACUAAUAACAUGUUGUUUCUAUGAUCAUCACACUUCUCCAGCUACCUCCUAUAGUAAAAUAAUAGUUGGUGAGUUUGGAAUAUUUGAUGCAGAGUUUAUAUAUGCUAGUUAUUAAGAGGGUGUCUAUCUUGGGUGUAUUGCUUAAUUUAGUUUGGUGUUUGGUUUUAAAAAAAAUUCGUUCGUGAGUCGGCCCGAUUUUAAACGAGUCAAGGUUGAGUUAGGGUAUGUUCGAUUCGAUAGGCUUGCGAGCUGGUUCGAGUUCGAGCUCAAGAGCCAACAUGAAUUCUAAGUAUUCGAUAAUAUGACUCGUCAUUAGAGUCAAAAAUGCAACAUGUGUUUUUGCUUCGAAUACCAUUUACAAUAAAACAUUAUGUAGAAACUUAUAAAUUUUAGGAUAGCUUGUUUUUCUAGCAUGGUUUGUCGAUAUCUUUUAGCGUACAAGCUUCAAAUUCAACUCAAAUUGGAUCGGACUCUCAUCGUGGGUUUUAUUUUAAUGAGAGAAGUUCGAGUUGAGCUCGAAUCUGACUCGUCAAUGAUAGUUAACGAGUCAGACUCGAAUAGGCUCGUGCUCAAUCUCAGCUAAAAAUUAACGAGUUAAUUUUGAAUAUAAUAAAGUUCAACUCGAUUGAGUUCGUAAACAUGCAAAAGAGAGUUAUCAUCAAUAAGAAAUGAUGAUAAUGUGAUGAUCAAAAUAUGACUAAUCAAAUCAUUAAACUUGGAAAAAAAAACAGAAUAUUCUAUAUACCAAUUAAAUUAGACUAUAUAAUAUAUGUGAUGAUAAUUUAUUGGGUAAUUGGUUUAUUUAUUUAAUUGGUUUCCAAAUGGCAUCAUAUCCAAGCCCACUUGUUAUUGGGGGGUUCCCCAAAUAAAAAAGGUUGAAAUUAGUCUUCUUCUUCCCCUUUCCAUUUACUCUUCCCUUUUCCUUAGCUUGGUCAACAUUUUCACAGAGCUCCACUGUCUGAAAACUCCUCCAUUAAUUUCACAGUGGCAGCAGUGAAACAAGAGAUAAAGCAAGCAAAGCUAGCAGAUGAUAAUGAUGAACCAGCAUGAAAUCCAGCAGCAGCAGCAGCAGCAGAUCUUCGGAUCCCCUCCUUCCGAUCAAAUCUUCAACCCCAACAAGGAGGACAACUCUCCCUCUCUCUCUCCUCCACCAUCGAUCCGUCGAGUAAUUUCUUUCCGCAGCAGUUUCAGUUUCAGAGACCGCCGCCGCCAUCGAGGUACUUGGGUCCUGCUCAGGAGCUGUUGAACGAGUUCUGCAGCCUCAAACAGGUCGACGCUAAUAGUCCAACCACCAAGCCCAAGAACAACAACAACAAAAACGACGUCGUCGUUGAGAAUAACCAGCAGCAAUCGUCGUCCGCCAUUAGUAUUGGGUCGGUUGAGUUCCUCGAGCUUCAGAAGCGCAAAACUAAGCUCCUCUCCUUACUCUCUGAGGUUGGUAUUUUAUACUAUUCACUGUUCCAUUCAUAUAAGGCCAACUCGAUCGGUACGAGGGAUAUCGUGUCGAUCGAGUUUGUUCUAACCUCUGUAUUCUUAGAUAUUCUUGUGUUUGAUGGUGUUGAUUUUGUGUAUUUUUACUUGUGAAUGCGUAUUAUUACGAAAAACUCUUCUCCAACUAAAAAUUAGGAGAAAGAACAAAAGCGUGGGUCCGACCGGCCGGUUGUUUUCUUCUCUUGGGUAUAUAUAACUGAUUUUGUUGUUGUAUAUAUGAAGGUGGACAGGAAGUACAGGCACUACUGCGACCAGAUGAGAGCGGUGGUGUCGUCCUUCGAGGCGGUGGCCGGAGCUGGAGCUGCCACGGUGUACUCAGCCCUAGCAUCGAAGGCGAUGUCGAGGCAUUUCCGGUGCUUGAGAGACGGGAUUGUGGUCCAAAUCCAGGCUACUAAGAAGGCAAUGGGAGAGAAAGAUCCGGUGGUUCCCGGCACAACUCGAGGCGAAACCCCGAGGCUUAAAGUCGUGGAUCAAGCCGUGAGGCAGCAGAAGGCUUUCCAGCAGAUGAAUAGUAGCAUUAUGGAUAGCCAGCCUUGGCGCCCUCAGCGUGGCCUCCCCGAGAAAUCGGUCUCUCUUCUCCGCGCUUGGCUCUUCGAACACUUCCUCCACCCGUAAGUACUACUUCUUGUUCGAAUUUCGGGACCGACAUUAAUAUACUUGUUACAAAAUAUUAAGCUAGUAACCCUAGCUAGGAAACAAUUAUCGAAAUCGAAAUUGACAUACGAAAUGUCCUAUACACGCAUAUAACAUAUGAAAAAAUUGAAACUGAAGGGUAAAACAGUAAUUAAUUAGUACAUGUGACAACAAGAACAUACGAGAUAUACGAUGAUGAUACCAUUUUAAUUUCGGAAAGAUUCUAAUGUGUGAAGCUUUGUCACAUUAGCUAACUUCAAUUAAUCAUUUAUGUAUAGUUUCUUCUCCAAAUUUGGGUAUAUAUAUAAAGAUAUGUUCUUGAUCUUUCUUUUCUCAUAGUAUGUGAUUUGUGUGGAUUGGAUUUGAUUCCUUUGCCCAAAGAGGUCCCUUCCCACAAAACGUUUAUUGGAACUCAUUCCUUGUCUUGUUUCAUCAUCAUCAUCUUCUUCUUCUUCUUCUUCUUCUUUGUGAAGGUAUCCAAGUGAUGUCGAUAAACACAUCCUAGCCAGACAAACCGGCCUCUCAAGAAGCCAGGCAAGUCUCCAUCACUCUCUACUCUACUCUUUCGGUUUGGUUUGGUUUGGCAGGCGGAAAGUUGAAUGUAAUCAAUUUAGAUAGCAACGAGAUCUAACUUUCCCAUCCGCCCGAAAAAUACUCAAGAUUUCGUCCAAACUUUCCACCUAUCAAACCAAGCAUAUGUAUAACAUGAUUUAGGUCAUGUUUGAUUUUUGUGUUUUGAGAAUCGAUAAUAUCUUUUAAAAUGAUAAUUUUUAAAACGGCUUACUUAUUUUAAAGAAAUUACUAUUUCUCAAAACUCUUGUUUAGAAACUAUUUAUUCAUAUAACUUUUGGUUUAUUUCUCAAAGCCAGACAAAUCUCCUUCACUCUCUACCCUACUCUUUCGUUUUUGUUUGAUAAGUGAAAAAUUAGAUGCAACUGAUUUAGAUUGUAAUGAAAUCUAUCUUUCCUGUCCAACCAAAAAAAUGCUGGAAAUUUCAUCCAAUAUUCUUUCUACCAACCCAAUCCUAUAUUGGAAAGAUUUAGGCCAUGUUUGGUAUUUUUGUUUUGAAAAUCGACCGUCUCUUUCAAAACGGUAANNNNNNNNNNNNNNNNNNNNNNNNNNNNNNNNNNNNNNNNNNNNNNNNNNNNNNNNNNNNNNNNNNNNNNNGUUUAAUUAUUAAAUUUUUCUUUAUUUCAUAAAAAAUCAAUUGUAAACUUUAUAAAGACAAGAAAAGUAUUGAAAUUCUAAAUAGGUAGACAAAUCAAAACUCACGAAACUCAUUUUUUUUGAGUUUUGGUGCUCAUUUUUUCACUCACAUACACAAAUCUUAAGAUUUACAUCUUCUACCAAAUAAGGAAAUCUAAAAAAAUUAUCGUUUCACCCGAAACAUUAAAACAAAACAUAUUUUUGGAUAAAUAGAGGAAAUAAAUAAAUAAAUGCAUGCUAACCCUACAAAUUAGCAUACAUCAAAGAAUGUCUGUCUGUUCCUUUGUGGGGUUUUGGGUUACAGCUCAAAUCUGAUUGCAACCUUUUCAAAUUAUGGUGGUUGGUCUUCCCUUUUUAAUUAUAUUGGCUGCCCUUCCCAAUAGGUCUCCAAUUGGUUCAUUAAUGCAAGAGUACGGCUAUGGAAGCCAAUGGUUGAAGAACUCUACAUAGAAGAAACCAAAGACAAUGAAGUGGUAGACAACGACGACGACGACAUCCAAAAUCUCAUGAUCAUGUCUUCCUCCGAUGUAGCAACAACCAGCCACGAUCAUCAUCAUCUUCAAUACUCGUCAUCCGAGCAAAAGCCAACUCACGACCAGCUCGUUCGGAUAGACUCUGAUUGCCUCUCGUCCAUCAUCUCCUCCAACCCUGACCACAAAACCGACCACCAGUGGCGGGUGCAGGGUGGUUCUAAGGGAGGACCAGGAUGAUUCAAAGGGAGUAGUACCCUCCUCCCAACAAGGGUUUGGAAUGUUUGGCGCGGUGGAGCUCGAUUUCUCGUCCUCUAACUACAACCACCACCACCACCAUGAUCAUCAAUCUGAGGCCGGGGUUUCGUAUGAUCAUCUCCAUCAGCAGAUGCAAGGUGGCGGCGGGGUGUCAUUGACACUAGGGUUGCAACAACAUGGUGGUUUGGGAAGCAAUAGCAUCUUCUUCCAGAGAGAUCACCAUGAUCAGGAGGUGCAAUACUCUUCAGCCCUUGAUGGGUUGGAUCAAGGUGGUGGAGUUCAGAAUUUGCCUUACAGGAACUUGAUGGGUGGCCAUCAAUUGCUUCAUGACCUAGCUGGAUGAUCAUGGUGGGUUUGAACUUUGAACAUAAUUAAUUAAGUAAUGGUUUGGUUUUAGAUUAGCAAAAUGAAAUAUCUAUCCACACAUAUAUACAUAAUUUGAAAAGGCUUUGGUAUUUGGUUUAGUAAUUGACAAGAUUUUGUUCAUGGGAUAAUAUAGCGAUUGAUUGAUCACUUUUUUUUUGUAUUUUUGUUAUUAUUUCGGAAUAGCUUGAUUUGUUUUAAUUUGUUAAGGACUUAAUUAGCUUAAUUUUUCAUGGAUAUGGCCGGUUGUUUGAUUUUACGUUUGUACCAUAUAAUCCCCUUUUAAUGUAUUGGGUUUCUCAGAUUAAUCGGUGUAUAGUGAUAUCAAGAAUCGUUGUAUCCUAAUAACUCGAGUUGUUAGGAGAAGAUUUUGAUUGAUAUUUAUAUUAUUUACCAACACGCCCCCCUCAAACGGAAGCUCUCAUAAGAGUUGAGAUUUUCACAGCUUCGAUAAGUCAUGGUGCACAGAUUGGAGGCUGCCAAGAUUCGAAAUGGAGACCUUUCAUACAUAUAAGACUCUAAGAUCAUCUCCAAUACUAAGUCUCAAAUGGCUAUUCUAAAAUCUGUAUUAGUUCAGCUUUAUUUGGGUGUGACAGGCUAUUCUUACUAACCUCUUCAAGCACUUUGCAUGUAGCAGCAAACAUCUUUAUCAUACUAUCAACUGAAAAGAAAUGAGAGCUCCAACGAGUAGUACUUGCACGUUACAAAGUUGUACUUUGAUUAGCUCCCUUUCCUAUCUCAAGCUCACCUCUUCCCACCAUUUCCUCAGUGUCUCUUCUAUGUGUCUCUAGCAAUCUGUAUUAGCCUUAGGAAAUGGUUUGACCUAGUUAAUAAUCUUAUCCAAUAAUGAAAAGAAUUUUCAUAUUGGGCCACAAUCCUUCGCUACAGCUACUAAGGUCAAUUGUAAACUGUGAGCAAAGCAAUGGACGAAAUAUGCAUACAGACACUCUUGUAGAAACAAAGCCUUCAAUCCAUUAUAUUAUCGUGAUAUAUUACUAGCACCAUCUUAUCCUUUGACCUCUCAUUUUGUGAAUCUCAAUAUUAUAUUGUACUCAGACAGCAAAUCACAUACAACCUUCUUCAGUAUUCCUGAAGUAGUAUUAGCAACACUCUUGAUGGCGAAGAAGCGCUCUAUUAGAAUGCCAGCUGAGUUAACAAAUCUAAGUAUGAUAGCCAUCUGUUCUUGUCCAGACUGAUCUUGUGCCUCAUCAACAAGAAUUGAGAAACAUGCAUCUCCAACUUCUUCCCUUAUUUUACAAUGCACUCGAUUCGACAUGAUUCCCAAUAACUCUUUCUGUAUGCUAGAAGCUAUAUACUUCGCAUUUCCAGGGGCAUUUUGCAGAACAACUGCUUUCACAUCUUCCCUCCAUUCUGUUAGAAGUUUAAGCCAUUCAAUUAGAUUUUCACGAUUAAGAGAACUUUCAGACUCAUCAUGACCUCUAAAUGCAGAUCCUUGUAAUGCUAAUCGUUUCACAAUCGAGAUGGUUGCUGAUAGUCGCAACCGAUGCUUGACAUCUUCUUCUCGACUAAUUCUCUCCAUCACUCUAUCAAUAUUAACAAAAGGAACAUUUAGACCACUGUGGCACAUGCAACAACUUUAUUAUACCGUGAAAAGGAAGACGUACCAAUAUAAGCUAGAAAUACACAAUUCUUUCCUCUACCAACCCUCUUCCAAUUAAAGAACCCCUCAUUCACCAAGGCAAAAUUAGACUCUCCGUCAAAAAAAUAUCAUAGAAAGCAAUAAGCUUUAUGAGUUGUUGGAGAGUACCCUAACCAAGGAUAUAUAUUGUACCAACUCCCUUAAUAGCGACAUGAGUGUCCGUCUGGAUAUUCUCAAAGUUGAUACUCCUCUUUAGAUAGAUUUGGAUGAUAAGCCCCCAACAUAAAGUAUUUUCUUCUUACCUCGUCUCUUAAUUUGAGAGGCCAUUUCGAUAUUUUAAUCCUUUUGCCAGAAUCUUUAUUAACUUCAUUAACAUAAGAUGGAACAUUGACAUACAAAGCUGGAGUUGGAGUUAUAUCUUUUUUGACAAUAUUACUUUCAUUGUUUGCUACUAUUGACACAAAGUAUGAUGUUAAGAAUGUCGUCUUUACUUUCUUAUUUGAUGGCUCCUAUGAAAUGAAGUCAUUGUAGCCACAACCUACCCUUGACCUUCAAUUAUAAAUUGUUUAUUCAAAAAUUCAAAUUACAAAAGACAACAAAAAUACUAAAAUAGCAACAUGACAACCCAAAACAAAAUAUAGUAACAUAAAUUAAUUACUCAUACUCUCACAGGCGGCAGGUGAGGAAGAUUGGCGCGCAAUAAUGCGACGGCCACGGUGCGGCGAUGGAGAUAGGAGAGGCCGAGAAGGAGGGCGCCGGCGGUCACAGUGAGUUUGGAAUUUCAAAUUUCUUCUCCCACUAAUUGCCUGUUGAUUUUGACUUUUAUAUAGUUUUAAAUUUGGGAAUUGGGACUAACAAUUGGGCUUGACUUAAGUUGUUUUAUUAUUAGAUUAAUAGGCUUAAAUUAUGAUGUGGUAGUUUGGGCUUAAAUGAUUAGUAUAAUUUAUAUUUGUGUUAUUUGAAAUGUAUUGUAGUUUUUGUUCUAAAUUCGAUUUUAAAUUAUUAUUAAUAUGUACCGAAUACUAAGUUGAAAUUAUGAUUAAUAUAUGUUGAGAUUUGAGUAUUGAGUCGAAACAACAUAAUACUGAGUCGGAUUUAAAAUUGCCAUGACUCAGACUCAAAAUAAUCAUAAAUAUAUACCUGAAUUUACAGCUCAGGGCCGAAAAUGUCCUGAGUCGUGGCACCCUGGCACCCAUUACAUCUGCCCCUGUAUUAGACUAUGCAUUGGAGAUGGUCUGAUAGACUGAUACCAUAUCAAGAACUGUUGCCUCCCAAUCAGUUAAAUUGUUAGAAAAAAAUUUGAUUAAUAUUUAUAUUAUUUAUUAAUAGAUGAUUCAUUUUCUUAAUAUUUAUUUUGAGAAAUUUUCCUCAUUUUCAUUUAAUUAAUUUGAGGUUGUCAUUGCUGAACUUGAAUAGUUGAUAGUUUCUGAAUUUAUAAAGCAUGGAACAAAUUGGUUGUUGUGGAUUGGAUUCAGAUGACUGUUUAUAACAAAAUAUCUGGAUGUGUUUUACGUGGACCCAUAUGUGCAUGAAAGGUUAUAUAAUGUAUCAAUUGAUUUCAUAAAUAAAAAGGUAUCAAAUGAAAAAGCAUGUUAAUGGAGCUUGGCGGCCCAACAGGCGCAAGGUUACAGAAGAAACCAAAAACUCAUGGAUGGGCCAGAUUAAGACAAGCCCAUUUCGUUCCGUCAAUGGAAAACCCAUAACAUUGAAACUGGGCUGUUUGUUCGCGAUUUAUCGUGGAGCUGAUUGAACGUAUCGAUCCGUGUGUUUUAUUACUGUUUGUAUGUAUUGAAAUGUAUGGUAAAUAAUUUAGUUCCUACAUAAUUAUGUAUGGUCGAAAUUAACAAAACGCAAUUCAACACUAACAUAACACAAACCGUAAAAUUAAUUUUUAACUUCAUUUAACCAUUAUUUACCAGGGUUAUUAUAGUGAAACUUGAUUUUUUAGUCAUUUCCAAUAUGUAUGUCAAAUAUUAACCGAUUCAAAAAUUUUAAAAUUUCUUGUGAAAAUGGUCAAGUUUUCAUAGUAUAACACACGGAAAUUGACCAACUUUGACAUUAAAAUUGAAAAUUUUCAAACCGGCUAAUAUUUGACAUGCAUGUUGGGAAUGGUUAAAAAAAUAAGGUUUCACCAUGAUAACCUUUGUAAAUAAUACGCAAAUGAAAUUAAAUUUUUUUUAAGGGUCUUGAUUGUUGUUGUUAGUGGGGAUGUAUGUGCUUUCGUCUACAAAAAAUUUAGUUUGGAUUUCUAGCGGUAUUCCACCACAUCCAUGCAGAAAGUAAGCUAAUUUGAAGAUUUUCAACACUAACGUAACACCAAGUAAAAUUGAUUACUUCAUUUGGCCAUUAUUUACAGGGGUUAUCAUAGUGUAACUUGAUUUUUUUGUCAUUUUCAACAUUGAUGAAUGUUAUUUAUGCAUUCUCAAAAUAAACCGGGUAAUGAAUUAACCGAGUCGAAUUUCCCUAGGGUCUCUAAUAGUAUCUUACUCAAAGUUGUAAUUAAUAUCAAUCAAGGUAUCAAUGAAUGUGGGUUAGGUGCCACGACGAUCAAUCAAUCAUAAAAGAAAAUGAAAAUUUGCUUUAAUGUAAAUAGGAUUGCAAGACUGCACGAUAAGAGUUUAGACAAUUGAAGAUGAAACUGCUUAGAUGUCAAAUCCCCCUAGGCAAUUUUAAUUCCCAAAUGACAGACAACUUCCACGAUUUAAACGAAACAGGAUAUGUGCAUUACACUUCGCAAUUCUUCUCUUAUCAAAUCACGCCCUUUUGGGUAUGCUAAUUUGCUACCUAUCUAGUAUUCUAGUCUGCACUUUCGAGACAAAGAUCCAAAACCCGCUAGGUGAUUUGCCGAUUUAGAAUUGUUCACACGACAGACUAGUUCAUUCGCUCCCGAAUGAGGGUUAACGUCUAAUCUAGUUAUUUGAUUUCGACAUUCUAGAUAUGGAAGCUCUCGAUAGUCUAAAACAUAUCUAACAUAGAUUUAAUUAAGUUGAUCAGGUAAGAACAAAUCGAAAACGAAAUCAAAUAUGCAAUGAAAUCAAUCCAACUUGCAUAAAUCGUCAAACGUAUCAAAUCAUUCGUUCAUAGGAAUUAACCUAGGGUUCCUCUAAUCUAAGCAAGAGAAGUUUAGAUGCUCAUAAUCAUGAAGAACAAAUCAAAGUCAGAAGAGGAAGACAUUGAAUCUAGUUUUACACAGAAUUAUGAAAAACCUAAUAUCGCCGAUCUUCUCGAUAACUUGAUACGCCAUCUUGAUUAUUUCACCGAUCCCGAACUUCUUGAAGUCGCCUUCUCGUUGCUCUCAAAUCUCUCUUUAAAGCUCUCAAUUUCGUCCAGGGAAGUCUGUCUUCGAAUGAGGGAGGACCGGACUUUAAAUAGAAGUUCCCAAAACUCUUUAAAUUUCUGGAAUGUCAACUUUGUCGCUGUGAAAUGUGAAUAUUGCCUCUAUGUGCAUAGCGGCAAGAUUGACACAUCCAUAGAGGCAAUCUUGACUUGUUUAUAGAGAGAGUUGUCAAAUUUGUCGCUAUGAAAUGUCAAUCUUGCCGCUAUGACAGAUCCAUAGCAGCAAUUUUGACAUAACUCCCUGAUCAAAGUUGCAGGAAAUUGAACGAGCUUCCAACGCCGCCGGCCUUGCAUCAAUCGAACUUCUGAGCUAGGAGAUAUGUCCAAAGUACGAAACUGCGACGUUUUCCGACCAAGUCGCGAUCCAAGCUCCUUGAAGUUGUCAAAAUGCUUCUUUCGAAAUCCUUCAUAUUGCCUGUCCUAGACCAUCCACACACACUGUAUCGCAGUGAUUAAUGCCGCGAUGUCUUUAUGUACCUGAAAUCUAUAAGAAACACUCCGAAACGACAUCAAAUGGCCCUCGACCGGGUCCGAGACACUAAAUUGAGAUAAAAGUUUAAAAUGCAUAAAACAUCCUAAAUUUCUAGCUAAAGCAAUACAAUAAUGCAUAAAAUGUCGCUUAAAUGAGGAUGAUGAACACGACAAAUCGAGUGUCAUCAAACAUGUAUGUCACAAUAUUGAAAUUUUCUUGUGAAAAUGGUCAAAUUUCCAUAAUAUAACAUACAAAAAUUGGUCAAUUUUGAUAUGAAAAUUGAAAAUUUUUAAAUUGGCUAAUAUUUGUCAUAAAUAUUAAAAAUUACUAAAAAUUAAAAUUUCACUAUGUUAAAUCCUUCAAAUAAUAGUUAAAUAAAAUUAAAAAAUAUUUUUUAAAAUUUUUAAUUNNNNNNNNNNNNNNNNNNNNNNNNNNNNNNNNNNNNNNNNNNNNNNNNNNNNNNNNNNNNNNNNNNNNNNNNNNAUUAGUGGGUAUGUAUAAGCAGUAAAAUUUUCAAAGAAAAUGACGGCUAAAAUGUGUUGAUAUUUGUACCAAAAUAGGUAGACUUUUGCAUAUUAACUUUUAUUUCCAUUUUCCGAGCUUGUGUUGUACUCGAGCUUAUUCGAGUCUGACUUGUUAAUAUUAUUGACGAGUCAAACUCAAGCUCAACUUGAACUUCACUCAUUAAAACCAUGAUGAGAGUCCAAUUUAAGUUUCUAAAUGUUUUACUGUUAUAGGUAUUUGAGGCAAACCACAUGUUGCAUUAUCGAGUCUACUGACGAGUCAUAUUAUGGAGUUGGUAUUUGAGUUGGUUCUCGAAGUCGAGUCCAAGCCAACUUCGCAAGUCUAUCAAGUGGAAUAUACCCUAACUCAAACUUAACUCGUUUAAAAUUAAAUCGAAUCACAAAUAAAAACUUUUCAACUAAACACCACUUACAAACGAUUUGAUUCGUCAACCAACCCACCUACCAUGCAAAACCUCAAGAACCCCCAAAAAACUAAAACAUGGACACAUCUCAUCCAAGCUACCGAAAAGCUUGGUUGUUUGAAGUUGCGUUGGGGGGUGGGUGUGUGUGUGUGUGAACCCCGCCAAUGAGCCGUAUGUUAACGUAAUGUGCCUGCUAAAACGACAAACUUCAUCUACCAACUGAUGACGUGGCCAUGACAUCACUCAAUGAUACUGAUCAAUAGUAUGUAUGUAGGUAGAUUGGGUAGAUUAUUAUAGUUUUCGAUUAUCAUAACUUUUUAUUCAUAUUCAACUGUUAAAUAUAAAAUAUACCAUUUAAUUAAAAUAUUGAGCCAUUUUGGUUAUGGGUUUGUGGGGAUAAUAUACAUAUUUUUUUAUAAAAGGUGUGUAGUGUAUUAUAUAUAUANNNNNNNNNNNNNNNNNNNNNNNNNNNNNNNNNNNNNNNNNNNNNNNNNNNNNNNNNNNNNNNNNNNNNNNNNNNNNNNNNNNNNNNNNNNNNNNNNNNNNNNNNNNNNNNNNNNNNNNNNNNNNNNNNNNNNNNNNNNNNNNUGUGUAAUAAAGUUAGUGUAUGGAUGUUUUUCUUUGGUUGGGUUGGAUAUGGUUUUUAUUACUUGAAAAUAAUAACUAAUCGUAAAAAUAAUGGUUUGUCAAUUUGUUAUGCAAAUUCAAUCAUAUUUAGUUACUAAGCAUUAAAUAUGAAUUAGAUUAAUUUGAUUAGUAUGGUUGAAUUGAUUAUUGAUUUUUUUUUGUACAGGCGGGGGGUGGGGUGUGUNNNNNNNNNNNNNNNNNNNNNNNNNNNNNNNNNNNNNNNNNNNNNNNNNNNNNNNNNNNNNNNNNNNNNNNNNNNNNNNNNNNNNNNNNNNNNNNNGUUUUUAAUGAUUUAAAGUUUGAAUUGUGCUCGAAUUUGCCUUGUCAAAAAUAAUUAACGAGCUAAGUUCGAAUAGCCGGAAACAGCAGAAAAUGCAAAAAGCUAUACGACAGCAUUCCAUAUUUCAUUAAAUGGUUAAUGGUCUUGUUGUUGUUCUUCUUCACUGACACCUGCUUGCAACCAACAAACCGUGACAGUCGUGGAGUUAUUAAUAUUGUUCUUCUUUAUUAAUCUUUGGUAGGUAAACCAAACCUUUUUCAAAAGCUUUGUCAGACUGAUCCACAGAAACUGUCAGAUGGAUCCAUUACUCUAUUUCAGUGGCGAUUUAAGGCCCCUUCACAGUACAAUAUCAGUCUCCCACAGAUAAACUUAGUGACACCUGCUAUAUUCAGUGGCCUGUAAUGAGACAAUGAUCUUCAGACAGAAAGUGUUGUUUGAAUAUCCUACAGUGUGCUCGUUGACGAUUCGGUUCGUAUCGUUUCUUAGCACUUAUGUCGACGAUUAGAGUCGAUCGAAUGUCUGAACGCAGAGUGUGGUGGAUGUCUGCAACAGUCUAAAAAGAAUACCAACUACAUUGCUGGAAACGACUCUGUAUAAAGUAAACAAACACGUAUGAAGCACGGCUUUAUACCUGGGUUUCCGACGAACUCUUCCUUCCUCUUUUGGCGUUUUCUAGCUAAUAUGGUUCUAAUUUUUGUUCUCUAAGACUUUAGGACUAGUUUGGAUGAUCAGUUACAAAAUUGUGGCCACCCCUCUCUCAACAAUGAAUUUAAUGAACUAACACUUGAAUUUCAAUGGAGGAAUCAUAACAUAAGAUGAACUGUAGAAAGAAGAAGAAGAAGAAGAAGAAGAAGAAGAAGAAGAAGAAGAAAGAAGAGAUGAGUCAGUCAAGACUCAAGACCUCUGUUGCUGCCUAUACUUCACUUACUUCACCAUCUCUACACAUUCCAACAUCAAUGGUUAUUGAUCCUUUCUUCUUUGUAUUCAUCACUCUGCAACAGUUCCUUCUUGGAGACUGCCCCCCCCAAAAAAAAACAACACAAACAUGACUAAGAGCAAUGAAAGAAAAUAUCAAUUAGUAACAGUAAUGAGAAGGAAAUGUCACUUACCCUGUUCCAAAGAGUCGGGUCAGGCUUCUUGUACACGACCGCCAUGUUGAUACCCGAAGGAUCAGCCAUCUUCCACCGGCAUUGUGGUUGGACGGCGCGAUGCCUCUGGUACUCGCUCACUGUCGUGUUCAACGACCCGAAAAACCUUGCCUUCGAGAGGUAGAACACAAAGGGCUUCUGGCAAGGGUUCCUGCUCACCGGACGAGUGUUGAAAGCAUAGGCGGUGUAGUCAGCCCUCCGGUACCAGUUCAAGAACGUUCUAGAGGGCAUUUCCACCUCGCGGGGGGAGAGCACACCCCGGAAUAUCUGGACAGCAAACCCCCACGAGACCGAAACUGUCCAGCUCCUGGACUUGUCGUAGCAUAUCGACUGCUGCAUUAUCCCCGCCGAGUCCAGCUUCAUCGGCACUGUUAGCCUCUGGAGUGCCUCGACUCGUGUCACGUUGGGGAAGAUCGGCUCCACCACGUCCAGGUGGUGCAGCGAGACCAGCGGCGCCACUGGAUGUGACGCCAGGAGACCGAAUAGAUUCCCGUAGACAUCAUACUGUUCAAGAAUGCACAAUGUAGUUAAGUACUUAAGUUCAGUUGUUCAUUCAAUCACAUAACACAAUUACUGGACAUUGGAGCAGUUAUUAAUCAGUUACUAAUCAGUUUUCUGUUUACAUAAUGCAAUGCUUGUUCAAAUUGGACUAAUCAGUUUUCUAUUCAAGGAGUAUGUAAGACACGCGAUCUCCCAUGCGCGUAUGGAUGAAACCGGUAAAAAUUCGGCUUUUGACGAAGCUAAUAAAAAAGUAAGCUAUGGAACACGUGUACCAUAUGGGCCCUACUCUUUAGACCGGUAAACGAGUCAGAUUCGGACGGAAAUCGGUGUUUAGCUCAUGACUCGGGAAAAAAAGCCCGAAAAAGUAAAUUCUUUUCUCAAUAAAACCCCGGAAACUCCGGUGAACGAGUCAGCGCCACUCGCCGGGAAGAAAAACAAAUUCCCAAAAAUAGAAUCCGCGGCGGUCGGAAAAUUUACCUGGUGGAACCCAAUUUCUUUGGUGAGGGGAACGCCGAGCUCAGCCAUACAAGCCUGCAUUCUGUCGUCGGAGCCGUACAAACCCGGGUACCGCUGAAUACACCGGUCCUGCAUCUUGUCCAGCGCCUUCGCCAGCGGGUAGCUCACGCAUAACCCGCCCCCACCGGCACGAUGCCGUAGGCCAUUCCGUAUGAGAAGUAAAUGUUCUGCAGGUGCGACUCGGAGAGGCUCCCGAUGUAGUAAUACUGUGUGUGGUCGUACUUCUGGAGAAUCCGGACCAAAUUCUCGGUGAUGAAAACGGUGUCGUCAUCCCCCAUCACGAACCACCGCGCGUCGUUCAUCGUCCCGAGGCGGAGCGUCUCGGAAACGAUCCUCGAGAUCCGGAUCGCCGACCUGUGUCCUUGCCUGUUCUUGUACACAAACUUCGACGUAUCCCCGGAGAUUCUCACCGGCGGAAGGUCACGGUCCGCAGUCGUGGACACCUUGUCAUCCAUCCAGACCACGCCCCUCAUCUUAUCCGGCUUGUACCAGAUCUUGAUGUAGUUCUUCCUCUGCUUCCAGAGCUUCGCCGACGCCGCGAUUCCGAACACCACAUGUUUCAAAUCCGUCGGCUCCGGCUUCUUCUCCUCCUCGAUCUCCCUCCGCGGCAGGGAAACGACGUCGGAUUCGUUGGUAGAGAGUGCCGCAAGGGAGAGGAGCGUGUUCUUAUCACCCGGAGGCGCGUCGUCAAGACGCGCUGCGGUUGAGAAGGGAUGGGCGGCGUCGUUACAAGAUUGGGAAGUGGAGAGGAGCUUGAGAGUGUAGAAGACGUAGGAGGCGGUGACGAAGAGCAAGAGCCAGACCAUGAGCUUGGGGAGGAUCCGGGUUUGGGGGAUGGAAGUCGGGUUCCGAUCCCAGAUGAUCUUCUCCGGAUCUUUCUGGUUCCCUUUCAUAAUUCGGAGAUUGUUGCUGCUUCGAAGCUUCAGCUUGGAAGAUCUUGAUCAAAAGAGAAAUUCCAAAAUGGGGACGCGGAGAACAGAGGAAGACGGCCGAAUCGAAGGUGGCAUCAAUUGAUGGAAUGGGUGGUGGAAUUAGACAUUUGGUGAUUGAAAUGUUACGGAAAGGGAAAGUUUUGGUGGAGAAAAUAAUUGGAAUUUGGAGGAUUUGCAGAGAGAAAGAGGAAAGGGGAGGAUGAUGAAGAUGGCGAGCUGCCAGGUUGCAAGCUCUCUCCCCCCGAGAGUAAAGUAAUGUUGUAGUGCAGGGGAGACACUCUACUGUAACUACUUAAUCGAGUUACUUUGUUUAUUUUUUUUAUAUAUAAAAUUAGGACGUUGAUUUAGACCUAACGAUAUUAAUUUUAUUGAAAAUCAAAAUUAAGUCGAAUUGAUCGAAAAAGAAUUUUACAUCUAAUAUCACUCAAUUCAUAAUUUCACUUUUUCUCUAAACUUAUAUUUUUCUCUCUUAUUAUGAUUUCACCCGAUUCCAUUUAAUUCUAUUUUCUCCCUUACGAUUUUAAUGUAAUGUUACUUGCUACUUGUUAUAGAUGGUUAAUUUAUGGUGUUUUAUUUUUUUUCUAUGAAUAUGAUAUUCUAUUUUGAUGAAAACUUAUCAUGUUUCUUUUUACCUUGGAUAUACUCAACCAACAUUUAACUAAUUUGUGUAUUUAUGCUUUUGUCUAAUGUUAAAUAUUUGUUAUUAUUAAAAUUUUAAAAUCUUACGAUUUAUGAUUCUAUUCUAUAAUUUCAAUUUUACAUUAAUUUUUGAUCCUACAUGGUGGAUUUCACUAUUUUGAGUAUUACUAAUUUACUAUAUAGUUAUCUAAGCUACUAUUUUACUGUAUUUGACCAAAUUAAAUUCUCGUAUUAAGUAACACCUAAUCAAUAAUUAGUUAAUUUUUUUUGGUUAUUUUAUGUUUUUUAUCAAAGUGAACAAGAAUUCAUUAAUAAAAUGAAUUAGCUACUAAAAACAAAUACAAGAAUAACGAAAUUUUGUCAUGUUGUACAAAUCACAAUUUAAUUGUUGCCUCCUACUCGGAUUCGAAGGAUUGGUUAGAAGAGCUAACCAUGUACGGUCAAUUCUCGGUCUAAACCCGGGCCGGUUUCGUUCAUAAGUCCGGUUUAUAAAAAAUCGGUCAAUGGAGAGGGUAAAAUGUUUGGGUGUGGUUAAGGUGGAUGUAGCUGUAUGAUUGCUCGCCUGUAGAUUUCCAGUUUGAUUAUUGGCGGUCAUCUCGGUUGACUGUUGCUCAAUGUUCGGGUCGUCCUAUAAUAUUUAUUUUAAUUAUUUUUUAUAGGUGACACCAAUUUUUGUAAACCAUUAAAUUUCUCCACGUGAAUAUGUGGAUCCCAUUAUAUUUGGUGGGCUUGCACCGACUGAUAAUUCCGGAUACGUGUCACGGAUUAAUUAGGAAAUAUUUGCAAUUAAAUUAAGAAUAAAAGAAUAUGAUACUGCUUCAAAAAAUAUAUGAUACUGACAACUGAUGCUUAGUUUAUUUGUAAGAAUAGAAUAUAAAAAAACUCCGGUAAAUAUGUGUACACGACAUGUUUUAUCAUAUUUUUAUUAUAUAUUAUUUUUAAAAUUAAGAGUUUUGAGGUUCUUAUUUAAUUUUUAGAGUUUAGGACAUAUUGAUAAGUGUUUAGAGUCUAUUGAACGGUUUAACAUUAUUCUUUUAAAGUGUUUAGGGUUGCAUGUGAUGUGUUUAACAUUUAUUGUUUCGAUUUUAAAUUCUUAAAAUGAAUAUUUUUACUGUUGAAUGUAACGUAUGCACGUACUGGAUUCUCCACGAGUAGCGAUUUUCAAUAAUUUUACAGGUUUAGUUUAAGUGGCAUAUUUGUUUUAUAAGAUAGAAUAUUAAACCCUGCCAAUAUAUAUAUAUAAUUUUAUCAAAUUUUUCACCGAUCAAACAAAACUAAAGGUGGCGAGUAGCUAGAAUUGGAUGAUUAUAUUGAUUACUGAAACCAACGAAAGCAAUCAUAGUUGAACAUGAUGUGAUUGCCUGGUUGGUUUAAUGGUUUACGAUCAACCAUGCCAAGUUUCAUUAGCUUGUGUUUUUAUUAUAUGAUUUCUUCGUUAGUUGUCAUCUUCAAUGUAAAAUGGCAGCUUGUCUUCGUAAAUGACGGCAAGUUGAGUGAGUAAAACGUAAUUUGUAAGGAAGUACAGAGGGUUCAUCAUUCUCCAAGUUUUCCUACUAAUUUAAUUAUGUUUCUCCACAGUCCAAUCUAUUGCCAGAGAUUCCUCAACCUACAAUGAUAAGGUAUAACUGAAUGCAUACAGUAAUUAACUGUGUGGUAUGAGCAGUGACUGAACUAAACACAAAAAUAAAGCUCAAAGUAUGCAAAUUUGAAUGACCACAUCUAAGUAAAUUAAGUUGGUAUUAAGAAUGAGAAAUGGUUGUUAAGGCUCGAAUUUACUCUAUAAAUAUAUGAAUUAUAUAUAAAAAUGGUAAAUUAUUUAGUAAACCUGGUAUAUUGAAACUUUUGGUGUGCUCAAUUUUUUUUUGGUAACGUAAAUUCAUCACCAUCGUCCAUUUUCAGUAUGUGAUCUCGACAGUUCACAAUUAUUAAAAUAUUAAAUUUCUAUUUCACAUUUUAUUUUUAAUCUCUUAAAAAAACGGAAAGUUAACACUAUUAAAACAAUAACGAACAUUUAGCUUGGUCCCCAGGCAUUCCACAGAGGUCGAGUUUAAUCAACUCUUUUCCUGGGCAUCUAAGCCUUACAGGUGUGAUGUUCAGGGUAAAAACAACAGAAGUAAUCACCUUUAUGCAUGCCUGCUUAAUAAAAUAUGUGUAACAUGCUCAAUUGAGUGUAUCGGUGGGUAUGAGAUUAGCGAAUAAAUUUAUAAUUUUUUAGAUAUCUUUUUCUAUAAGCUAAUUUUUUAGGAUGAAUUCUACUCAAGAGGUUAUAUUAAUUGAUAUCAAACAUGUCCCACACCUAAUUUGUGUUUGCAUAGGGGGUCGACCUGCGGAAGGCGCAACCCACAAAAAGGGUAACUUGAAAACAAAGUAGACCAGCCGGUAGGCUUGGCAACGGGGAGGUUCGGGAAUGGUUAUGACCACCCGAUUACGAUUAUAACCGCUCCCAACGGUUAUUCACCGUUAUGCCAAAAAAACAAAAUGAAGAAAAAAUGCCUACACAUUCAUCAAUGGGAAAUUUUCCAAAUCCAAUUCGAAACUAGAAAUGGCAUUUGAGAAAAUUAACUUGAUUAAUUUAUGGGCUUCACCAUUUGAAAUGUUAGCGGAUAUUGCGUUUCAUUACUAUCGUUAAUUAUGUGGGUGUUAUUGGUCUAGACGCUGAAUAUUAUUGAGCUUUAGCUAUUUAGUAAUGCGGGUAAAUAAAGGUUAAGCUGCGGGUCGGUGAUGGUUAUGGUGAUUGUGUGGUUACUAUAAAACUCAUAACCUAACCUUACCAAUUUUUAGCAGUUAGCGGUUAUAACCGUAACCUUAAAACACCCAAUCAACGCGAUUAAUAACCAUCAAACUUGAUCAAGUUACAUUCGGUUAAGCGAUUAACCGGUCAAAAUUACCAAAAUAACCAAAUGGAGUGGAAUUAUGGAGCAGAUUUGUAACCUCCUCAACACCCUUUCUUUACAAAAUUAAGUUUUGAAUAUAAAUUUUAUCUAAAAAAUUGCAAUAAAAUGCUAAUGGAAAAUUAAAUGCUAAUCAUGAUCAAGGACACUUGAUUAGCAGUCAGUGGCCACCAAUAAAUAGGGCUGACCGCCAAUCUUUCCGUGUUGUCCUCAAAACUUAACAUUAUUGCUUCAAACAACCCAAUUAGGAAGAAGACAUCAUAAACCAGAGAAAAAAGAACAUAAAGCAAAGGAGAAAGGGUGCCUAAUUAAUAAAUAUUGGGUGUCGUUUUCGUGGACCAAACCGAACCUACAGCAGUUGUUAAUUAAUCCACCGAUGUUUGUCAUUAGGAAAUAUGGGAGACCACCAACCACAUCACACAACACACAACACAUAUAGUAGAAGUUAUAUCUCCACUACUUACUCCCACUCCAGCAUCACCAUUAAAGAGCAAGUUUCGACAAGAAAAUGUGCCUAGUUGGGCCAAAACUACUUUGUUCCAUGUAAUGGACUUUUGUUUACAUAUUCUUAGGGGCCAUGAACCAAACUGAUAGCUCACCAGGCCAGCCCAAUUGGCUGGCCCAACAGUUUAUGACGGUGAGCUCCCAAGAGAAAGAUCUAAAAACAGGCGAGUCGUCAUUCAAUUAGCUUAUAUGUGGAAACUCGUUUUAGGUCUAAGAUAUUAAAAUAUUUAUAGCGAUUUUAACAUCAAGAUAGUUUACCAUUCACACAUUGGUAUCGUAUGCUUAUAGAGCUAUACGUCCAUCGGCCUAUGACCUAUACAUUAUACACAAAAUACGCAUACGGGCAACUCUCAUUACUUCUCAUUCACCGUACUCUUCAUUUACUCUUGCAUUCUUUCUUACUACUCUUCCCUACUUGCUUUACGAGGAAUCACUCAAAAAAGAUCAUAAAGUGUAUAAAAAGAAGAAUUAUAAUCUAAUCAUCAAUCAAAUCGAUCUUGUUACUCGAAUUAUUCAUUGGGCAACUAUUUUUGGUAGACGAAAUAAUUUUCUUUAUAAGGUUUCAUCCAUGAGAAAAAGAGUAUAUUUUGUGGUUAGUGUUUACCAUUUCAUUGUGAUUAAAGGGUAAAUUAUUAUAUAAUAUAAACAACCUAAUUAAAUAAUAUUUUCAAAUUGAGAACUAUAGUUAUGUUAGUUGAUCCAUAAUCCCAUGUUUGACUGGUUUUCAUCCAACAAAGCUGAGGAGGCAGGGGAAAGAAAGCAAAGGUUCUGUCAUAUAACCCAGACAAAGCUACAAUUAUAACCAUAUUGGGAUAAUCCAUAACCAAUCAAGAAACUUGUGAUAAACCCAAUUGAAAGAAAAUCAAAUCGAAAACUGGGUCACUUCCCUCUAACUUAAGUACACAGGAAACAAAAAUGUACAUCUAUAUGUUCCUAUCCUAUGACGUCAUUAAUGGCGGACAUUGCUCCUAGUGUGGGAGGAAGUAGAGGUUGUUCUGGAAAGAAGAGAAACAAUGGAGUGAAUAGCAGCAGCUGCAAUCCUCAGCUUGACCUGCCCUCUCCUGCUCGGCAUCCGAAUCGCCACACCUCCUAAAGCUGCGGCAGGUCGGCUAGCAUUCUUGUACAUCAUCUCCAUCACAAAUUUGGGAGGAGAAAGUGAAAAAGAUGUCUUCUUUAUGAAGCAACUGUUGGAAAAGAUUGGAUCUUUUUGCUGCUGCUGUUGUUGUUGCUGUUGACAUAGUGUUGUUCCUGCUAGUGUUUAUAUAUAGAGAGUCAAUGGGAAGGUAAGUCAAUGUGGGUAGAGAGGUUGGGGUACAUUGCCAGUCUGCCAAGUUGUUUGUUUUCUUACUGAAAAAGUUGCAGACAAGUUGAUUUGAUGCUGUUGGCUGGUUUUGGUUUCUGGUAUGGUUUUUGGUUUACGUGGAUUCUGUCCAAAAGAAAGAUUGUAUAUAUGAAAUGGAGCAGGAUGAUGAUCUAUCUAGGAAAGUUCGUUUUUUGUUUUGCUUUCUGGUUUGGUGAUGGCUGAGCUGAAAAUGGUUCCUUGAGACAGAACCAUGUCAUGUUUUCUUAGUCUCUGACAGGGAGAUUUGGUGGCUGGUUGAUUUUCUGAUCUUGAUUUUGACAGAGAGUGGGGGUUUUUUUUUAUUGUCUCGACUGUUUUGUGCAUCUAAUGUCCAUCCAUGAUCCAUAGCGGAAUCAACAUGAUUUGAGAAUAUAGAUGGGAUUUCACAUUUCAAUAUCUAAUUUACUUGUAUAAAAACUCGAUAUAAAUUGUAAUGUAAAAAAUUGUACAUAGAAUUUCAUCGUUUUCGGAUUAGAGGACCCUAAUUGGUCCACCCCAUUUGCGUCAUUGAUGUCUAUUAUAGUGAAACUUAAUUAUUUAGCCAUUUUCAAUAUGUAAGUCAAAUAUCAGCCAAUUUGAAAAUUUUCAUUGGGCGGUUAACACAUGAAAAUUGAUAAUUUUCACAUAAAAAUUUAAAAAAUUGGCUAAUAUUUGACAUGCAUAUUGGAAAUGGUUAAAAAUCCAAGUUCAUCAUGCUAACCCCUUCAAAUAAUAACAAAUGAAGUUUAAAAAAAUAUUUUCUCUGAGACUGUACGAUAAUAAUGUUAUGUUUAGUCUUGAAAGUUUUCAAAUUAGUUAACUUCUUACAAGCAUCUUGGAAAAAGUUAGAAAUCUGUUGAUAAAUAUAAUAAUGUACUUGCUAAUUCAUAAAAAUUUGUUUCUUACUGUGUAAUACAAAGAAAACCUUUAAAGAUGAAGUAGAUCACACUCAACUUCCGUAAACCGUGAAGCACUUGAAAAUCGAGUUGUGUUUGUUUGUUGGAAACGAAAUGUCUUUUUUGAAUGGUUUAUUUUGGGUUUGUCGUCUUAGGUUAUUCACCAUAGCAGAUAUGAACCAUAAAGAAGGUGGUGAUGCUGAGAGUAUUCACUAAAUCCUUUCAUUAAAACCAAGUAUUCAUGAAUUUGACUUGGAGAUAUUAACUAAAAUCUUUCACCGAGGACAGUAGAGGAAAGGGGUUUAGUGAGCAUCGAAGUUGGCUACAGGUUUAAUGAGCAUCAGAUUUGGCUACAUCAACUUCAAGAUGUGAAAAUGAUAAAGCAACCGAUAAUUACGAGUCCACGAUAAACUUGCUUCGAGCUAACUUGGGAGUAAUACUUAAUUAAUUACAUGAGUUUCUGCCAACUUGAUACUCAUACUUCACUAUUUCAAAGUAAUUGAAUUUUUUUAGUUAAUAUUUAAUUUAAUUUAAUAUAAUUGAGUUGAGAUCCAAUUAAAUAAGUUUAAUAAAAUUGAAUUAAAAGGGAAAAAAACUCAAUGAAUAAUAAAGUAUAUCUUUUAACUCUAUAUAGUUUUAAUAAUAAUAUUUCUUUCAUCGAACAUUAUUUUGAUUUGGUUGGUUUUCCUCCCUUUUCAAAUUCAUAUCAUACAUAGUUUUCAUGUUUAGUGUAAUACAAAAUAUUUGAUUAUCGAUCUGGUUUUUUUUAUGUAAAGGGUUUUUAUAUCAUUAAUGCUUGCGAAUCAUACAAAUACAAUGCAUAACAUUUUGUAACAAAGGCAAGAAGUAACAUCCUUAGUAACGGGACAUGUCCGAUUUAUAGCAUGUUGGUCUUCCCACGGUGGAUUCCUACUCGUCUUCUUCAUGUUCGACAUCUAAUCCAUUGGGUUGGGGCGGUUCGUUUCGAACACGCCAUGCGCGUCCCGCUAUAUAUGGUUGGUUGUUUGUUGCUCUGUUAGCCCUGGCUCACAAAAUUUUCAACAACUUCGAACAGCAAUGACCUAAACGUUCUUUGAUCGUUCCACAUCCAAACGAUAUUUUCAUAUGGUCUCAAAUCUAGCCGAAGUCGUACUUGACUCCUUGACCACGUUCCAAACCAUUUCGUGUACCUCAAGUCAGGUUCGGUUGGGAUGGCAUUUCAUAUUAGCAUAGAAAGCAGAUGAUCUGAAUUCUGACAUUUAUAACCAAGGCAAGCUGAUAUAUUUGGAAUAAUUAGUAACAGGAACUGGGUCUGUUUCCUCUAACUAAAAGAUGUUAUACGACACCUCGUACUAACAAAAUAAACAUACAAAAGAACGCAAAAUAUACAAACAGUGAGUACUAGUACAUCUAUCUUAUCCACAAAAUUGUUCCAAAGAUAUCAGUUAAUGGUGAUUUCCAGAAAAAGAGUUUCUGGAAAGAAGAGACACAAUGGAGUGAAUAGCAGAAGCUGCAAUCCUCAUCUUUAUCUGUCCUCUCCUCCUCGGAACCCGGUUCGCCGCACCCCCCAAAGCUACAGCUGAAGCUCCACGGCAGCUCUUGUUCAUCAUCAUCUCCAUUCGUACAAAUUGCUGAAAGUAAUGAUCCUUUGUUUUCUGCUGGUGAUAAUGUUGUUGUUUUGGUUAAGUGUAUUUAUAGAGAAUUGAGAGUGGAUAAGGACGGAAACCAGGGGCUGAAUCCGAUUCAUUGUUUCAGAAGUGGGAAAGUCAAUAGGAAGGUUUUCCAAUUAGUGGUGACACAACUGACAGUCUGUCAAUUAUAUUUUAUUGGUUAAGGUUUUGAGACCAAGUUGAUUUGCUGCUGUUGGUGGGUGGAUUAUGGUAUCAUUAGUUGUUUAAUGUUUGAAGGUCCAAUGAUUGUGUGUUCUUGGUGUAGUGUCCGCAAUCAUAUAUGCAUCAAUCAGCUUACACGUGCAUUCUGUACUAAGAGAGACUUAUCUCCAGUGGAAUGGAUUUUGAUCUCUAUCUAGGAAAGUUCGUUUCUUUGGUGGAUUUUCUGGUGUUAGAGAUUCUGGUUUUUUAUUUUGGCUGAAAAUGGUUUCCCAGGACACUACUAUGUCUGUAUUUUCAAGCUAAGUCACUGACAAAGGAGAUUUGGUGGCUGAUUCCCUCUUGAUUUUGACAGACAAAAUGUUGUUUUGUUUAUUUGCUUCAUUGGUGCAGCCAACUUGGUCAUUUAAAAGGGAACACUAAUAGCUGUAUCUGCAAAGGUUCGACUCGGGAUUUGAGCCACAGGCGUUCGUAUUGUAAAGGAGUUACUGAUUUGAAUUCGAUAUCUCCCGUCUUUAAUACAUAAUGCUACUAAUUGCGUUACUUUAUAGGAUGAGUGGUCCUAUUCUAUGGGGUGCUUAUUAACAUUGUGAUUAAUGAUUCAUGAUUAGCUGUUAAGCAUAUAAUAAAGCUUCAAAGUCUAAUGUCUUCCUGCUCUCAUUCAAAAGAAACCAGAAACCUCAAACCAUCCCCAUGUUUUGUCUCCAAAAGCAGAUCGUGGUC
rnacentral:lncRNA from 1 species